rnacentral:lncRNA from 1 species
CUGAAAUCAAUGUAUUGGCUAGAUGAGUGGACGAUGGGGGGAGGAGCAAUGCCAAAACUUGAAAGCUUAAUUGUCAACCCAUGUGCUUACCUGAGAAAGCUUCCAGAAGAGCUGUGGUGCAUAAAGAGCUUGCGCAAAUUGGAUUUACAUUGGCCUCAGACAGAGUUGAGACAAAGACUACGGACUUUCGAGGAUAUGGAGUGGCGGUAUGACAUCCAGUUAUAUCCUUACGGAAUCUGAUGGAUUGAAUUGGGUGAGUUUUAAUCUUAUCUGAUAUCUCAUACUUUAGUUGCCCUUUUUUUUCCACUUUCUCAGUAGAUCUAUGUUUAUUGUAAAACCUUCAAAGGGUCAUACAAAUGAAAAAUUCAUUUAUGAUUCUUAUUUCCCUUCACUUGUGUAGGCAAAAUCGGAGAGGGAAACAACAGGGCGUCGUUUCAUUUAGCAGAUUUCAAGGAUUUGCUAUAACUGAUGCGAUGGUUGCAAUAUUGUCUACAAACUUGAAUUGUUGUACUCCUUUUUCUAUUUUUCGAAUUUGCUGGCAUGUAUGUAUGUAUGUAUGUGUGUAUAUUGUGUUUUAGUUACUGUUUUAUGCUUAGAAGUACUCCAUUUAAGCCGCGGACCUGCAGGUAUGGUUUCGCUAGCUUUGGACUUGUAUGACUUGUAUGGCUAGUUUUGGACUUAUCAUUGUCUAAUAGAGCAUAUUUGCAGUUAUCUAAAAAAAAAAUUGUUAUUUUUUUAAAUAUAAUUGCAAUCUACAUACAUAUACAUCUAUAAUGCUGGUCUAAUUGUUCUUGUUUCUAAUGUCAAAAUUAUAGCCACGGACAUUGCUGCAGAGAAACAAAGAAACCUCUGUAUUGUAAUAAGUAAGAACAGUGUAAUAGCAGAUUUUCAUUUGUGAUUCUUAUUUUCUUGUACAUGUUUAGGUAAAAUCAGAGAGGGAAACAUCACCUGCCAGACCUUCAAUAGUUCAAUUUCAACUGUGAUUCAGCAUCCAUCAAUUCUUUCUUUGUUUCUGCUGUCAAUUCAUAAGUUCUCAUAAGGCUGGGCAUCUUUUUGUUCAGUAGAUUUCGACGACGCCAUGGCUACAGUAUUGUCCACAAACUUGAAUCAUUUUUUUUUUUUAAUUUAGUGGGUAUGUAUAUUGUAUUAUUUAUUUGUUGUGUGCUCAGAAGUACUGCAAGUUAAGCCCUGGAAAAUGUGAGAAGAAAAAGAAAUUAAACUAGAUUACACGAUAUUAGCAUAUUGUUCUUUGCUUGAACCAAGUUCUUCUUUGCUUUAGCUUUUGUUAAGAUGCUGUCUUAACCUUCCUCCUUUUUCUUAUUGCUAGUUUGAUAUCUCUUAUCUUUUCUUGAACCAAGAUAUUUCCCUUAACUUACAAGUAAAGUUCAAAUGCUCUUUCUCUUUUCUCUUAACUUCGGUUUACUUAUGCAAUCAUUUUCAAUUCUACCAAAACCAUCCAUUUAUCAAUACCCAAAUUGUUCUACAUUCUAAUUUUGUUGUGCCUUCCAACUUAUAUUUGAUUGUGUUGCUUAUAUCGUCCGAAUAUCGAAGUCCUUGAUUACUCAAUAUAACAACAGCAGGUACUUCAAUUAUUAUUCAAAAGUUAUAUUUCUUUUUUCAUUUUCAUGUGUCAAAAUCAUCACCACGCAUGCAAUUUAUUUUGUAAAAAUCAUCACUCACAUACUCCUCGUUUCUAAAUUACUUUUUUUAAAAGACCAAAGUUGAAUUAUGUCAUUAUAAACUCUUGAACAGAACAAUCAUCAUCCUUCAUAUUAAUGUUCUUUGUCAGACAGAACUAACAAUCCUUUAUCAUUUGUUGAUGGAGAUUUUCUGCAUUGAUCAACUUAAUAGUUAUGAAAACCAUCCCCUAACCCCAAAGCAACAAAAGAAUCUACAACCAAUCAGCAUAAAAUUAUGUACAACUAUACAUUUCUUAUUAAUUUAUGCAUGUAGUGAUGUUUUGAAUCAUAUCAGAGAAUCGUUUAUAUUUAUUAAGACUCAAUGUACAUGCACUUUGUAGUAUCGCCCAGAGAUCUGCCAAGCAUUAGCUUAGAAAUCUACUCUGUCCAAAUUCAAAGAAAUUAGCCUGGGUCAUAUUUAAAUAAAUAAAUAUAAGGCUGUUCUCAUCACAUUUGAACUUAUUUACAAGCAUAGCUCUUGAUAUUUAAAUAUAUAUAUAUAGCUGUUAAAUAGAUAAUAAGCAUAGAUCUUCACCUUUAGAUGGUUGCAAUAUUGUCUACAAAGUUGAAUAGUUGCACUCCUUUUCUAUUUUUUAUUUGCUGGUACGGCUUCAAUUGGCCUAUCUCCUCUCAUAAUAUUUCUUUCAUUCAUAACUAUUGGAUAAAGAUUAGAAUUUGAUCAAUGAAAAAAAGAUAAACAAUUACCAAUUCUAAUUGAAAUGCCAUUGUAUUUUCUUAAAUUUCAAUUUCUGGUUUGAGUUUGAUUUAUGUGAUGGGAAGUAGAUGGCUGUGGUUCAUUUUGUGGUUGUGAUUCAGUUUGUUGUUGUGUUGGUGACAAUGGUAUGGUUGAUGAGGAAUGUUCUGAUAUUGUAGUUUGAGAAUGCUCUUGUUGAUGCAGAUUAUUUGUGUGUGUAGAAACAGAAGGUACCUGUUCACUGCUCUCUGUACUUGCUGAUUGAAGAUCUUCCAAGCUGCUGUCAGUUAAGGAUAAUGUGGAGAGAUUAUAAAUUUGUUGCUGGGAAAAGUUUGACACUGAUAAUUCAGAAUUUGAACUGUUCUCAGAUGAAUGAAAUACUUUGUUAGUUGAGUAAGGGAAUGUAUUUUCAUCAAAGAUAACAUGCCUUAGGAUAUGAAUUUUUCCUGAACUUGUUAAACACUUGUAACCCUUGUAAGAAGGAUUAUAGCCAAUGAAGAUGCAUUUGGUGGUGUGAAAAUCAAAUUUGUGUUUAUUAAAAUCUCUCAUAUAUGGAUAACAUAGGCAACCAAAACACUUAAGAAAAGAAUAAUCUGGUUUGUGUUUAUAAAGCUUUUCAUAAGGAGAUAAAAGCUUAAGAACAGGUGUUGGUAACCUAUUAAUAUGAUAUGCUGCUGUGUGAACAGCUUCCCACCAAAACUGAAAAGGGAGACUAGCUUGAGCUAAGAGUGUCAAUGCUAAUUCAAUUAUGUGUCUGUGUUUCCUCUCAACAAGACCAUUCUGGUGAUGAGUAUAAGGGCAUGAAUGUCUAAACUUGAUCCCAUUUUGAUUGAGAAAAUCACUGAAUACUCUAAACUCUCCCCCCAGAUCAGAUUGCAAUUCCUUAAUCUUGGUAUUAAACUGAUUUUCAACUUGUGCCUUGAACAAUUUGAAGACUUCAAAUGCUUGUGAUUUAAGCUUAAGUGGAUAGAUCCAGGUGUAUUUAGUGUAAUCAUCCACAAAACUAAUGUAAUACUUGUAUCCAUUUCUGGAUACAGUGGGUGAAGAUCCCCACAAAUCAGUAUGAAUAAGUUCUAAUACCCCUUUUGUUUUUGUUUCAGUUGCUGGAAAACUUUGCCUGUGAACUUUGCCUAACUGACAUGCCUCACACAAAGAAUUUGUACAAUCCACAAUAUCUUUAUGAGAGAAUUUAAAUUGCUUGCAAGACUUAACUAAAUGCAUCAGAAUCAUUGAACUUGGAUGACCAAAUUUUCUAUGUAACAAAGUCAUUACAUCAGAUUUGGUUUUGCAUUUAUUAGAAACAUAAUGAUAACAAGCUUUAGAAGGACUAUCAAAGCUUUGAAAGCUAGACAACAUUGAGAUAGGUUUAUUUAGAUCCAUUUUUGGGAUCCAUUUUCUGUAAUUCUCUUUCCAUCUUGUAUUUUCUUCGUAUUUUAAUAAAUUUCCAUUUUGCCCCUAGUUCAAUUAUGAGUGGCUAAUUUUCUUUCAAGUUUGGGUUGAAGUUGAAGUCUCAACAUGUGUCAUGGGCUUUAUUUGGUAAAUUUAUUUUCUCUUCCCUUCUAGUUUUUGUGGAUGUUUUGACUUCUCGUCGACAAAUAAUAAUAGUCUUGUCUAGAUACCGCUUUGGUUAUACCGGCUCUCUAGUAUAAGGUUAUUAUUAUUUGGCACGAUAAGCCCUUAGCACCAUAUUGAUUUGAGCGUGGUUCAUGAGGUGUGGAUUCCCCCCUCAUGAUUUAAUUGGCAUUAAUAAGGAUUAUUUAGCCCAUGAUGCAUGUUGAUACGGAUCCAGAUACCCAAGUACGUCAUUUCAAUAGAAUUCUCUUCAAUUUAUUCUCGCCAUUUCAAUUCCAAUUUCAGAAUUUAUUCUUGCCAUUUUAAUUUAAGUUUUAGCAUAUUCCAAAUCAUUUCCACCACAGAUCCAAUCAACCAUUUGCAAAAUUAAUUCUAUACACAAUUAAAAUCCACCUCCUCGUGGGAUCGACACUCGUCACUAUUGAUCUAUACUACAAUAGAUUCGUGCGCUUGCGAGUACAUUAAAAUUUGCACAACACUUCCCACCAAAACUGAAAAGGGAGAUUAGCUUGAGCUAAUAGUGUCAAUGCUAAUUCAAUUAUGUGUCUAUGUUUCCUCUCAACAAGACCAUUCUGGUGAUGAGUAUAAGGGCAUGAAUGUCUAAACUUGAUCCCAUUUUGAUUGAGAAAAUCACUGAAUACUCUAAACUCUCCCCCCAGAUCAGAUUGCAAUUCCUUAAUCUUGGUAUUAAACUGAUUUUCAACUUGUGCCUUGAACAAUUUGAAGACUUCAAAUGCUUGUGAUUUAAGCUUAAGUGGAUAGAUCCAGGUGUAUCUAGUGCAGUCAUCCACAAAACUAAUGUAAUACUUGUAUCCAUUUCUGGAUACAGUGGGUGAGGGUCCCCACAAAUCAGUAUGAAUCAGUUCUAAUACUCCUUUUGUUUUUGUUUCAGAAGCUGGAAAACUUUGCCUGUGAACUUUGCCUAACUGACAUGCUUCACACAAAGAAUUUGUACAAUCCACAAUAUCUUUAUGAGAGAAUUUAAAUUGCUUGCAAGACUUANNNNNNNNNNNNNNNNNNNNNNNNNNNNNNNNNNNNNNNNNNNNNNNNNNNNNNNNNNNNNNNNNNNNNNNNNNNNNNNNNNNNNNNNNNNNNNNNNNUCAUUACAUCAGAUUUGGUUUUGCAUUUAUUGGAAACAGAAUGAUAACAAGCUUUAGAAGAACUAUCAAAGCUUUGAAAGCUAGACAACAUUGAGAUAGGUUUAUUUAGCUUGGUAUGAAGAUGGGAUGAAGAAAAUGAAGAAUAGGGAUUAGAACUCAACAGCAGCUUGUAUAGACCUUUUUCAGCAAGUCCCUGCAGCAGAACUUGUCCCUUCAUGUCCUUCACAAAACAAACAUUCCCACAAAAUUCAACAGUUAUAGGGUUAUCAGAUGUCAGUUUAGAAAUGCUUAGUAGAUUUUUGGUAAUUGAUGGAACAAGUAAUAUAUCCUUAAGUACUAUUCUGGAAUGUGCAGAUAAGGAAUUUGAUGCUCUUUGUGACAGAAAUCCAAAACCAACGUGAGUGAUAGACAAACCUUCACCAUUACCAAUUAUGAGCUGAUCAGUACCUUUAAACUCCUCACUGAUCUGCAAGUUCUCCAUGUUGUUGGUCAGAUGGUGAGUUGCCCCACUAUCCAAGUACCAUCCAUCAUCAGCAACUCCUUCAAAGUUAGCCAUAAAUGCUGCUCCAGGAGUACAAGCAUCAAAACCAGAAUAAUAGCUACUGCCAGACAUAGGAUUAUAAGCUGAAGACAUAUAAUUGAAGUUCUCAUAAUCUUCAAAGUUUGGAUUUGGAGCAGAACCAUCAAAAUUUGACAGAUAUGCUGAUCUGGGUGCUUUUCCUUUUCCAAAACCCCUUGGCAUUGGCACAUAAUCUUCAACAAAUCUAUGCCAACAGAUAUCAGUAGUAUGACCAGAUUUGAAACAAAUCUGACAUAUUGAGUCCACUGGAUUGUUAUUGAAAGCUCCUUAUGAUCCAUUCUUGAUAACAGAUGGUGAACUCCUUGGUGCUAAAGGAUUAUUACCAUUAAAAGGAUUACCAACAGGAUAUCCUCUACCAAAGCCACCUCUAAAACCUCCAUUAAACAUUCUUGGAGAAAGAUUCAUAUUUCCUCUACCAGAGAAAACAUUCCUACCACCAUAAUAACCUCCUCUCCUAAAAUUUCCUCUAGGCUGUGCAUAAUAAACCGUAUGAUGAAAUGAAUUAGUAUAGGCAUUAGUAUAUGCAUAGUUAGCAUUGAACAUACUCUUAUCAUCCUGAUCUUGUUCCAACCUAGUUUCAUGAGUAAGCAAUAACGCAUAAGCAUCAUCAAAUUCCAUGCGUGAACUAGUUAUGAAGGUAGUAAUAUCACGGUAUCCUGAUCCUAAUCCAUUGAGUAUGGUUAGCAUUAGAGAUUCCUUUUUAAGAGUGUUCAGCUCAUAUCUCAGCUGAAGAACUCGAGCUUCAGAUUGAACUCCAAACUUAUUUUCUAAUGUUUUCCAUACACCAGAUGAACUUUCACAGUUAAUAACAAGACUAAGGAUACCUUCACUUAAUGUUGACAGCAGCCAACUAUGUUGUUACUUGAAUAAGAAAAGAAAACAAAGUUUACAAAUGGAAAUGAAAGCCACGUGAAUUGUCAAGAGAACUUCACUCAAUUCAUUAACUGAAAACAUUACACUUUAAAGCUUAAAUAGCACACCAAAGCCAAAUAACAACCCACUAGAAUCAUGGUCCAAAGAUUGUGCCACGAUCACAGCAAGAAUCAACAAAAUAAAUAACCAACACCAGAAAAAUAGGAAAAGUUUGAAACAUUCAACAGAAGCAACUUCUAUGACUCCACAUCAGCAGUCCUAAACACAUCUUCUAACACUCCUCCUUGCUUUAGGAGCUGCAAACACCAAGUUUUGUUAUGAAAAACUCAAACUUGCUAACCGGCAGUGGCUUGGUGAAAACAUCUGCAACCUGAUCUUCUGUUUUGCAGUAGACAAGACUAACAACUCCAUUUUUCUGCACUUCUCUUAAGAAGAAUAAUUUAAUAUUAAAGUGCUUAGUUUUCCCGUGAAACACAGGAUUUUGAGAGAUUGCAAUAGCAGCUUGGUUGUCAACUAGAAUCUCUGUACUUUCCUCCUGCUCCAAGUUAAGAUCAUGAUAACUCUAUAAAAUGAGAGUUAUUAUGACAAUUCUAGACUUAAAUCAAGAUCACUUAGAGAGUAAAUGAUGUGUUUUUAUUGCAUUUUUGUUACAUUUUGCAUAAACAUUCAUUUUAGUUUAGUCUUAAUAAGUUUUGCUUGAUUUAAAGUAAUUCGUGCUCAAAUUGUGUGCAGAAUUGUAGGUUUCCAGAAGCUUAUAAUUCAUGGAAGAAAUGCUGAUGCAAUAGGCUGGCAAAAAAGAGGAAGAACAUGACUAUAAAAGAAUUGAAACAAAUCUGGAACAGUACAGUUGCUGUAGCCGUUGCUGUAGCAAUCCUGGAACAACGACAGAGAAAAUUCCGUGCGGGAUACUUACAGAAUUGCGAUCUGCAGUUUCCUAAUCUGACUUAUGCGUGCCCUAGGCUUCCGUUUACCUUAAUUUUCAACUAUAAAAGAAGCACACAUCAUAAGGAAAAGAGAGAGCCGUCACCCAAGGAGAAAAACACAAAGAAACAAAAGAAAAACAAGAUUCAAGAGAAAGAUUAAGGGCUGCACAAGAGGAGAAUUUGCAUAAAUCAAUUGGGAGCUCAAUCAUUCUUAUUCUUCUCUUGUUUUCAUGUUUUCUAUUUAUUCAUGGGGAUGUGUUUCAUGGCUGAAACUUUGUUCUUUAUUUUUCUUUUGCAAAUCAUGAACUAAAUUUAUUUAUAGUUGAGUGAUAAACAAUCUUGAUGGUUUAUUGACUGGAAAUAUGUGUUGCUGCAUGUUUGCUGUAGCAGUUUGUUUUGAUAGUAUUUAUUUUAUUCGUUAUUUCGGUUGAUCACCCAUUUAAUGAUAAUAGAUAAUGAAGAGUCGUAAAAGGGCCUAUCUUAGUGGAACAUAUCAGAACAAUACUUGAUCUUAAAUUGAGUUUCCCGGAUUGAGUUUUACUUGAGUCCCAAAAGGGCCAUACUUGAUUUAAGAUUAAUGAUGAACUAGACAUAAGGAUUCACCUUGUAGGGUAAAUAGAACCUAAGCGUGUAAUGCUAUAUCUUAUGUUGGCAUAACAACUGAUCACUGUUAGGUUGCAUAUAAAUAUAAGAUAUCCAACAUGUGACAGCUGAGGAUACAUAAGCUGAUCCAUCUUGGCUUCUUCAUAAUUUUUAGGUUCACACACAGCAACAUUGCAUCUUUGGUAAACAUCUGAAAGUGGUCUUGUGCCCCUAAUAGGUCUGUCAUCCACCGUUUCAUUUCCCAAUCUUCAAUGCUUUGAUCUGCUGUGUCCACAACAGGAAACUUGAGUUUUGGCUUUUUUGAGGUUGAAUCCAUCUUCUUUGCAUCAUCCCAAUUCCACUCUUCAUCUUCCAUAAAGUGCACAUCCCUGCUUAUAAUAAUUUUUCCAGUUUGUGGCUGGAAAACUUUAUAAGCUUUUGCAACAGGAAUUUCAUAGUCUUCUUCCACUGCUUCCCAAAGAUCCAAAGCUUCCAAGUAUGUCUCCAUACGUACUGCCCAAAGCUGGUAGUUGUUUCCGUCAAACACCGUCGGAGCAAUUGCGGAGAAACUAGCUUCGGCUUCCAUGACUUGACAAAUUCAAACAUAGAUCCCUUAAGAAGAAAGCUCUGAUACCAGAUGUUGUUACUUGAAUAAGAAAAGAAAACAAAGUUUACAAAUGGAAAUGAAAGCCACGUGAAUUGUCAAGAGAACUUCACUCAAUUCAUUAACUGAAAACAUUACACUUUAAAGCUUAAAUAACACACCAAAGCCAAAUAACAACCCACUAGAAUCAUGGUCCAAAGAUUGUGCCACGAUCACAGCAACUAAGAAGAAUUUGAUCAUGUGAUCUCCAGAUCUGAUACUCAGGAUUCUCAAUUUGUUGUGUAGAUCCAUCAACUCUAGCUAACAAAAUAUUUUCUUCAGGUGCUGAUUUGAUUCCAGUUAUGAAGUCUUCCAGUCGAUUACCUCUAAUCGAAGCUAGAACUUGUGAACGCUAGAGAAGGUAGUUUGAUCGAUCUAGUUUAAUUGGAUUCGUGAAAGAGAAAUUGAUUUGAGUGUGUUGAUUNNNNNNNNNNNNNNNNNNNNNNNNNNNNNNNNNNNNNNNNNNNNNNNNNNNNNNNNNNNNNNNNNNNNNNNNNNNNNNNNNNNNNNNNNNNNNNNNNNNNNNNNNNNNNNNNNNNNNNNNNNNNNNNNNNNNNNNNNNNNNNNNNNNNNNNNNNNNNNNNNNNNNNNNNNNNNNNNNNNNNNNNNNNNNNNNNNNNNNNNNNNNNNNNNNNNNNNNNNNNNNNNNNNNNNNNNNNNNNNNNNNNNNNNNNNNNNNNNNNNNNNNNNNNNNNNNNNNNNNNNNNNNNNNNNNNNNNNNNNNNNNNNNNNNNNNNNNNNNNNNNNNNNNNNNNNNNNNNNNNNNNNNNNNNNNNNNNNNNNNNNNNNNNNNNNNNNNNNNNNNNNNNNNNNNNNNNNNNNNNNNNNNNNNNNNNNNNNNNNNNNNNNNNNNNNNNNNNNNNNNNNNNNNNNNNNNNNNNNNNNNNNNNNNNNNNNNNNNNNNNNNNNNNNNNNNNNNNNNNNNNNNNNNNNNNNNNNNNNNNNNNNNNNNNNNNNNNNNNNNNNNNNNNNNNNNNNNNNNNNNNNNNNNNNNNNNNNNNNNNNNNNNNNNNNNNNNNNNNNNNNNNNNNNNNNNNNNNNNNNNNNNNNNNNNNNNNNNNNNNNNNNNNNNNNNNNNNNNNNNNNNNNNNNNNNNNNNNNNNNNNNNNNNNNNNNNNNNNNNNNNNNNNNNNNNNNNNNNNNNNNNNNNNNNNNNNNNNNNNNNNNNNNNNNNNNNNNNNNNNNNNNNNNNNNNNNNNNNNNNNNNNNNNNNNNNNNNNNNNNNNNNNNNNNNNNNNNNNNNNNNNNNNNNNNNNNNNNNNNNNNNNNNNNNNNNNNNNNNNNNNNNNNNNNNNNNNNNNNNNNNNNNNNNNNNNNNNNNNNNNNNNNNNNNNNNNNNNNNNNNNNNNNNNNNNNNNNNNNNNNNNNNNNNNNNNNNNNNNNNNNNNNNNNNNNNNNNNNNNNNNNNNNNNNNNNNNNNNNNNNNNNNNNNNNNNNNNNNNNNNNNNNNNNNNNNNNNNNNNNNNNNNNNNNNNNNNNNNNNNNNNNNNNNNNNNNNNNNNNNNNNNNNNNNNNNNNNNNNNNNNNNNNNNNNNNNNNNNNNNNNNNNNNNNNNNNNNNNNNNNNNNNNNNNNNNNNNNNNNNNNNNNNNNNNNNNNNNNNNNNNNNNNNNNNNNNNNNNNNNNNNNNNNNNNNNNNNNNNNNNNNNNNNNNNNNNNNNNNNNNNNNNNNNNNNNNNNNNNNNNNNNNNNNNNNNNNNNNNNNNNNNNNNNNNNNNNNNNNNNNNNNNNNNNNNNNNNNNNNNNNNNNNNNNNNNNNNNNNNNNNNNNNNNNNNNAUAUAUAUAUAGCUGUUAAAUAGAUAAUAAGCAUAGAUCUUCACCUUUAGAUGGUUGCAAUAUUGUCUACAAAGUUGAAUAGUUGCACUCCUUUUCUAUUUUUUAUUUGCUGGUACGGCUUCAAUUGGCCUAUCUCCUCUCAUAAUAUUUCUUUCAUUCAUAACUAUUGGAUAAAGAUUAGAAUUUGAUCAAUGAAAAAAAGAUAAACAAUUACCAAUUCUAAUUGAAAUGCCAUUGUAUUUUCUUAAACAUUCCAAAUAUCAUAAUUUUUUUUCCCUCUUACUUAUUUCUGAAGUUAUUUUCUUCCUGUUUCUAAUGUUUCUCUAAUUCUUAAUCCCUUAAUGAUGAGGCGAGAAAGAUUACGAAAGUGAAACUGAUUAAAACUAAAUAUAUAAAUAUUAGAAUCCAAACGUUCCGUGCCCAAAUCCUGUUAAAUAUGAAAUAUACAAAAUUAACAAGUUGAUCAUCAUGUAAAAAUCUUAUUUAACUCCUAGUUUCAUUACAAAAUCGUUCACAAGUUAAUUGAUAUCCGUAGUAGGUGAUAAAAGCUCAAGCUUUUUUAAUAAGGAAAGCUCAAAAGAAUUUCAUAAGAAAUCACAUACCAAUGAAAAUCAAUGCAGGGAAACAAUUGAGCUAUUUUCCUAGAGGGUAUAGCGCUGAUGACAAUCAGAAGAAUCACUUAAUUAACGUAAUGAAAUAGCAACGUAGUUUAGAUCUACAAUGCCACUUGCCACAUGAAAAUGUAUAUAAUCAUAAUUAAUUAGGGAAAAGGACGUUGUAAUGAUCUGAGUGAGUUGUGCAUCAAUGUGGUUGUGAUCAGGUGACGCUCUUCUUUAAUAGUCAAUUCAGCACUUGAGCUACGUUCUCUUAUCCUUUUUUUUUUUUUCACCCACAAUUACUUCACUGAGAUUGGAUCAAUAAUGCCUCAGCGAAUUCAUUAACAGGAAGACUGUAGGAACUGUAAGGUAAAGAAAUUUAUACUAAUACGCUGCAACGGAGAAACAAAUAAAGAUCCCUCUAUAUUCUCAAAAAAGAACUAACACUAUCUUACAUUCAACUGUUGAUGCAACCAUUGGAGUUACAUCAAUAAUUGGAGUAGUCCAGAUAGGAUUGCUAAUGCUCGAAACAAGUGGCUCUUAGAAAGAAUAGACAAUGACCAGUAAUGAACAUAACUCAAUGGGUCCACUUCAAAAAGCAAUUGUUCAAUUUCCAUCAACUUGUUUAAUAGGGUAGAUGUGGGAUGGAGAUUUCUAAAGAUUUUAAAUAAACCUUUAGGUUAAAAAGAUUUUAAAAUUAACAAAAUGUCUUUCUAUUAAUAAUAUUAAAAUUAUUUUUUUAUAAUAUUCAAAAUAAUUUAAACUUUACUUUAUUUAUUGCAAUAUUAUGUGUCUAUUUAUUAUUAAAAUUACUUUAAUAUGAUCAAAUAUAUAUGUAUAAUAAAUUGUAAAAUACAAAAAUAUUUUCUUGCUUGUCAACAAAUAUUUUUUUCCCCGAAAGCCAAAAUAAAAUUAUGUCAAUAUCAAUUCUUUAACAUAACAACCUUAGCUUUCUGAAGUCUAAUACUACUCUUUCCAUGCCCAAAAAUUCAAAAAAUUUUAAUUAAUCCUGUUACUGGGCUUGCGGCAGUUUCGCUAUUGAAGGCAAUUUGAUAUUAAAAUAUUUUUUAAUGAAAAAUUCUUUAAAUUAAACAAAUAAUUUAUCAUGAUUGGUCCUACGAUAAGCAGAUACACAAUCACUCUAAAUUGUAGUUUUGCAUCAUAUAUAUAUUUCGUAUAUUAACAAAAUUGAGGCUAAAUAAAUUUUGUCAAAUGAAAUUAACAAGAUAUUAAAUCAAAUAAAAUAUCUACAUGCCUCAAUAAAAUAUAUAAAUGAUAUGCCCAUAAGAUUCAAUAAAUGAUGGAUUAUUUUAAAAUUUAAAAUUCUGAAAAAUCGCCAAAAUUGAAAGGAUUUUGGACUAAAAUGACUGCUGUACCGUACAUCCGCCUUGGCCGUACAGCAGAAUAAUGCCUCAGUGAAUUCAUUAACAGGAAGACUGUAUGAACUGUAAGGUAAAGAAAUUUAUACUAAUACGCUGCAACGGAGAGACAAAUAAAGAAAUUCUCAAAAAAGAACUAACACUAUCUUACAUUCAACUGUUGAUGCAACCAUUGGAGUUACAUCAAUAAUUGGAGUAGUCCAGAUAGGAUUGCUAAUGCUCGAAACAAGUGGCUCUUAGAAAGAAUAGACAAUGACCAGUAAUGAACAUAACUCAAUGGGUCCACUUCAAAAAGCAAUUGUUCAAUUUCCAUCAACUUGUUUAAUAGGGUAGAUGUGGGAUGGAGAUUUCUAAAGAUUUUAAAUAAACCUUUAGGUUAAAAAGAUUUUAAAAUUAACAAAAUGUCUUUCUAUUAAUAAUAUUAAAAUUAUUUUUUUAUAAUAUUCAAAAUAAUUUAAACUUUACUUUAUUUAUUGCAAUAUUAUGUGUCUAUUUAUUAUUAAAAUUACUUUAAUAUGAUCAAAUAUAUAUGUAUAAUAAAUUGUAAAAUACAAAAAUAUUUUCUUGCUUGUCAACAAAUAUUUUUUUCCUCCAAAGCCAAAAUAAAAUUAUGUCAAUAUCAAUUCUUUAACAUAACAACCUUAGCUUUCUGAAGUCUAAUACUACUCUUUCCAUGCCCAAAAAUUCAAAAAAUUUUAAUUAAUCCUGUUACUGGGCUUGCGGCAGUUUCGCUAUUGAAGGCAAUUUGAUAUUAAAAUAUUUUUUAAUGAAAAAUUCUUUAAAUUAAAAAAGAAACAAUCGAUUUAACCACCAUCAAUCAUGUCGUGGUAGUAAUUAAAAUAAGAUAAAGGUUGGAUAUCUAUUGGAUACCUCUUCUUUUCAAAAGGCAAGCGUCUUGGACUUUUCGCUAAAUGAACGCGUAUCAGUUUUUUGAGUUAAAAAUGAGCAAUAAUGCCGUAUUUGUGGAAUUUAGCCACUUCGCCAGUUCCUUGGCAUCUUCCUUUCAAAUUCUCCCAUGGCGUUUAAUUUUACACCAGUAACCACUUUGAGAUAGAACCAAUCCUUUUAAUAUUUCUUGGAGCAAAAAACAAUACCUCUGGGUGCUACAGAGAGAAGGAGAUAUGCUGGACGUCCACCUCCGACUGUUUUGUGAGAGGUUGAAAAGGGUGUUAGCAGGUGAAGAAGGCAUGUUAACGUGGCCUGAUUCAACAAAUUUAACUCCACGUUUUCAAAACCUUCUUACGGAGUCCGAAAUUAUUGCUACUACUCUGUUGGGAAACUAUGAAGCUGACAUGGCUCGUCGUGUGAUUCAACGCAUCCUUAGAGACCUACCCGAUAAAAACGAAAUAGCUUUGUAUUUUCUGCAACUGUUGGACUUAGAAGAAAGCGAUGAAGACAGCGAGGAAGACAUUUUGGAAAUUCUGGAGGACAUCAAUCACCAUGUCAAUGAAUCUGAGGAAGCCAUUGACUCAUUCUUUAUCAACAUCAUGCAUCAGCAGAACAGUGAAAACGAAAGUGAAAGCAGUACUUGUAUGGCUAUUCUUGUUGGACUCCACAGUAAAAUCAUUGCUAUUAGAAAUCGGAUGCAACAACUUCCACCCGGCAACAAUGGUUUUGAUAUCAGUGAACAAAGGGAAAAACUCAUUCACUUAUUGACUGACGGACAACCUCGGCUUGAUAUCAAUGAAUUUGAAAGGGGCAGAGAGGAGUUGUUUGAUUUAUUGAUUGAAGGACAUCCUCGGCUUGCAGUGGGGCAGAGAGGAGUUGUUUGAUUUUGUUUGAUUUAUUGAUUGAAGGACAUCCUCGGCUUGCAGUGGUUGCAAUUGCCGACAGCAGUGGCUUCGAUAAGACUGCUUUUGCUGCUGAUACUUAUAACAAUAAUCAUGUCAAGUUCUAUUUUGACUGUCUUGCUUGGGUCAGGGUUUCUGUAUUCUACCAUUUUGGCAAGAUAUUGGAUGACAUAAUCAAGUCUGUUAUGCCUCCAUCUCGGGUUAGUGUAAUUAUCGGGGAAGAUUAUCAAUUGAAGAAAUCUAUUCUUCGAGAUUACCUAACAAACAGGAAGUACUUUAUUGUGCUUGAUGAUGUCUUCGAUGACAGUGAGAUAUGGAGUGAUCUUGAAGAAGUUCUUCCUGAUAAUCAGAAUGGAAGCAGAGUAUUGAUAUUGGUCACUGAUCCACACCUCCUUACGCUGUCGGAAAUGGAAAACGGAGAGAAGAUUCGGCUUGAUUCGGUGCUCAUUGGAGGACCAUUGAUCAGAUUAAAGCAUGAAGCCUGGCAAUUUUUCAUCCUACACUAUGGAAGUAUGCCCUUAGAAAAUUAUCUUCAAGGCGAAACGAUUCCGACAAUUUUGAGUCGAAUUUGUUCUGUGUUGGAGUUACCUUUUCACUUGAAAAUCUGCUGCAUUUAUUUGUGUGUUUUCCCUCCAAGUAUUGAGAUAUCUACUAGGCAAUUAUAUCAGUUGUGGGAAGCUGAAGGUUUCAUACCAUACAACAGUGAGGAAACUGCAGAACAUCACUUAAAAGAACUAAUCCGUCGCGGCUUCAUUCAAGUGAGUAAGAGAAGAGCCGGAGGCACAAUUAAAUCGUGUUAUUUUCCAAGUAUUGUAGAUACUUCAUUGUUUUUGGUGGCAGAGAAGACGGAAUUUGUCUGGUCGCCUGACAUGGUAGAGGAACCAAUGGCAAAUGUUAAACGGUGCUUCAUUUUGAAAGAUCUGAUUGACUUCUUUCCUUCAGAAUAUUCUGACAUGUAUCUCCAAUCUUUUCUCAAUCACAGUUCAGAAAGCGAUCGUCUCGCUCGGAUAGAUUGCGAGAAUUUUUGUAAAAAGUUCAAAUACCUUCGGGUAUUGGACUUGGGUUCUGCAGUUCUCGACCAAUUUCCACCCGGAUUAGAAAAUUUAUUCCUUUUGAAGUAUUUGAAAUUGAAUAUCCCUUCGCUCAAAUGCCUUCCUUCGCAGCUAUGCACCCUUUUAAACCUUCAAACACUACAAAUGCCAUCUAGCUACAUAGAUCAGUCACCAGAGGAUAUUUGGAUGAUGCAAAAACUCAUGCAACUAAACUUCGGUUCCAUCACUCUGCCUGCACCUCCAACAAAUUAUUCCAGCUCUUUGAAGAAUCUUAUUUUCAUAUCAGCCUUACACCCUAUUAGUUGCACUCCAGAUAUAUUGGGCAGAUUACCAAAUAUUCAAACUCUUAGAAUAUCUGGAGAUUUGAGUUAUGAUCAAUCUAGGGUUUCCAAAAGCCUAUGCGAACUACAAAAACUUGAAUGGUUGAAGCUGGUGAAUGAAAGCAAGCCCUCACGAAUGGUCCUGUCUGAAUACCAGUUUCCUCCAAGUCUGACCCAUCUGAGCUUAUCAAAUACUGAGCUAAAGGAGGAUCCCAUGCCAACGCUAGAAAAGCUUCCAUACGUUCAAGUGCUGAAACUGAAGCAGAACUCCUAUUUAGGAAGAAAGCUGGCCUGCGUUGGCUCUGGUGGCUUUCCGGAACUUAAGGUUUUGCACCUGAAAUCAAUGUAUUGGCUAGAUGAGUGGACGAUGGGGGCUGGAGCAAUUCCAAAACUUGAAAGCUUAAUUGUCGACCCAUGUGCUUACUUGAGAAAGCUUCCAGAAGAGCUGUGGUGCAUACAGAGCUUGCGCAAAUUGGAUUUACAUUGGCCUCAGACAGAGUUGAGACAAAGACUACGGACUUUCGAGGAUAUGGAGUGGCGGUAUGACAUCCAGUUAUAUCCUUAUGGAAUCUGAUGGAUUGAAUUGGGUGAGUUUUAAUCUUAUCAGACAACUCAUUCUUUUAUAUGCAAUUUUUUUUUAUGUUUAUCGUAAAACCUACAAGGAGGUCAUAAAAAUGCCAAACUAAUUGAGGUUGCUUCUGAUGUCAAAAUUAUGUCUCAACAUAGACUCAGUUUGACUGGCAAAACAGAGUGGGAUAGCCACACAUUGCAGCAGAGAAACAAAGAAAGAUCCCUUUAUAUAUAUCUAAUAAGAACUGUAAAAGCAGAUUUUAAUUUGUGAUUCUUAUUUCCCUUUACUUAUGUAGGCAAAACUGGAGAGGGAAACAACACCAGCCGGACUUUCAAUUUCAUGAGACGGGGCAUUGUUCUAUUUAGCAGAUUUCAAGGAUUUGCUUUAAUAUGCCAUGGUUGCAAUAUUGUCUAGAAACUUGAAUAGUUGCACUCCUUUUUCUAUUUUGAAUUUGCUGGUAUGUUUGUAGGGGCGUGUGCGUGUGUGUUGAGUUUUGAUUAAUGUAUUAUGCUUCGAUGUACUCCAUUUAAGCCCCGGACUUGCCGGUAUGGUUUGGAUAGCUUUGGAUUUGCAUGGUUUGCUAGUUAGAGAAAUGGUUUGCUAGUUAUAGAAAUAUCAAUCUUACUAGGAAAACUACCUCAUGCGUGUACGUUUCUGGCUUCAUUUUAGUUGCUGAUUGCACCUUCAAUUACAUUAGAGUAUAUGGAGUAAAAAAAAAAAGUUAAAUUAUUGGCUGAUUUUUAAGAUACUUUCAAGUUUGGCCCAUACCUCAAUUGUCAGAAAGUAUAUGGAGUAAAAAAAAAAAGGUUGGGUGUAAAUAAGUGAUAUACAGAUGUAAGGCUUCUUUGAUCACAUUUGAAGUUAAUUACAAGCAUAUCUCUUGAUAUUUAAGUAAAUAAAAAAAAUAGAAUAUUGGCUGUUGAAUAGAUAAUAAGCAUAGAUCUUGACUUUUGAAUUAAUUACAAAAAUUUUAGUGAACAGAAGAAAUCCAUUUGUUCCACCGAUUACAUUGAGGAUUUUAAUGAAUCCCAAUCUUAGGUAACAUGCUAAUGCUAACAGUAAUGGCAAGAUAUCAAAUGUCGGAGAUAAGAGACUAUUAGCUUUAAGCGAACCAACAGAGAUUGACAAGUUAGAAAUAACUUGCUAAGUUGAGAAAUACGCCUGACAAAUAAUAUGAUUUUCCCAAAUAAAUUAGGUUUUAAUUUAACAAGUUUUCAUUUACAAAUGCAUUUUAAUCCAAUGAUUUAUCACAAUGUCCCACCAAACUGAACAAAGAAAGAAAGAUAUAAUACAAUUACAAGUUUCCUAAUUAAGCUAUAUGAUUAUGAAUUAAAGCGAAUACUAUUGACUUGACGAACCACUUUUUGUGUUUCUUUAUAAGUACGUAUAUGUACCAACAAAAUUCUUCUUAAAACAAAAAAAAAAUUCUCUCUUUAAAUUUGUAAAUAUUCAUUUACCAAUAAAUUAAUAAAUUAUUCAUUCAAUAAUAAAUAAAUACUCCUCUAAAAUAAUAUCUUUUCGUAGUCCUAAUAAUAUUAUUUUAUAGAUACUUUCUACAUUUAUUGUGCAAUAAUUAAAAAAAUUUAUAUUUUUUAAAAAUAUAAUUACAAUCCAGAUACAUAUAUAUUUAUAAUACAACUCUGAAAUAUAUCAAGACUAGUUAGAAAAUCUACUUCCACUAAUAAUAUUAUUAAGGAGAAAUUAGCCCUAUUCCACGUUUUUACAAUUUGAUUUAAUAUAAAUUUUGUUCAAGAAAUUUAUCUUUUUUAAGAAAAUAUUUGAUUAACAAAUUAUUAUUAUUAUAGCGAAAAUAAAAAAGCAGCGGCAGAAGAAGGCUCUAACAACAAAAUGAAACAUUUACAUUUUUCAUUUCCCAAAACCCUUCGCUCUCUCACUCAGGACACUCACUGAUGCGCAAGCAAUGGCUCGCACUGCCAUCCUCUGCCUCCGCUGGUCAUUACCGGCCAUCGUUGCUCUUCGCCGCUCUCUCUCUGCGGCCGUCCCUGCACUCUCCGCAUCCACUCCUCUCGUAAACCCCUCCAUUUCAUCGGCAUCGUCAUCAGUAAUCUCCUCCUCCUCCUCCUCCAUCAUCCAAUCUCGACUGUGGUUUAUCAACUUCAGGUACAUGUACCUUGAUGUAUGUACCAUCUAAUGCCCUAAAGCAAUUCUAUUAAUCGAUUCAAACAAAAAAAAAUUAUAAUAUAAAAUGGCAAGCUCUCUUUAUUAGAAGAGAAAAUAAAAAUCAAGAAUUUAAGCAUGUCAUUCCUUAAAUCAUUUCCAUCUCUCUCGUCAGUGCAGUUUUACUUACAGGGUCAGGUGUUCUUAAUAAGAUAUUUUCCAAUUGUAAAACUGCAUUUAAGACCAAGUUGAAGUAUCUACUAAUUGUCUCCCCCAAACAUAGAAAUCUACUAUGAAUUGUUCUGUUUUUUUACAUGAUGGGCAAGUAUAUGUAGAAACAUGCAUACUUGUUCCUCAACAGAGACUAUACCAUCAGCCUUCAACCCCCAUUUAUACGAAGUAGCUCACAUAAUAAUUCGAAUGUUCUCUUAUCCAUCAUAGUUGAUUCACAUAUUCUAUGUCACUGCCUAAGAUAAUUUCUAUAUAAAUGAGGCGUGUUGCAUGCCUAAUGAAUGUGCGAUUUGCAACUGUAUAUUUUUUGUUUUGUCGACUUUUGUGUUGCCAAAGUACAGCAGCCAAUACACACAAGCACAAUUGUUGUAAACGGAACUCGUGUAUAAGAGAGAACAAUGUAAUUUCUCUUUCAUCCAUAUCCAGUCAUUGAAGGUAUACGGUGUGAGCAUAUCAUAUGAAUAUUAAAGUAAGUGAAGUAAAUAUCAACAUAAAGAAUUAUGAUAACUGGACAGAUAAAGAACUCAUUGAGAUACAUUUCAUGUGAACAAGUUAUUAGCUCAGUUCCAAGAAACUUAUAAAGCAACAGUUUUCUUUUCAAAAUAUUUAAGUCUUAUCAACAUAAGAGACAAAGUUUAAUUAUUGUAUUCUUAAAAGCAUAAUGAUAAAGUUCUAUUUAAUAGCUAGAAAUAAAGUAAAUUCACUAUAGACAAGAACAAAUUUCUAGAAUUGCUACCUUUUUUUUCAAAUAAAAGAAAUUCACUAAAGAACAAAAUGACGAGAUCCAACUUUAACCAAAAAGCAAAUCACAUAAGCUAACUAAGAAUCUGCACCAUAUGGCUAGAAAUUGACAGCUGGGUUUGCUAGCUUAUUAACAAUGCCAUUACCGUAUCCCAAAAAAUAAAAGAAAUUCUACAUAAAUGUCUCUUUUCAAUUCAUCCCGAGUUUUAGUCAAAACCCAAAAAAUUUCCUUCAUGAAGCUACUCUUUCCAAUGAACAAAUCCAUAAAAUAGUUCACUCAACACAAACAAUUAACCCUUUCCAAAAAAAAAAACACAAACAAUUAACAAAAUUGAUUUAUAACAUGAAAAUUAAAAUAGACAAUAAGAAACACUCAACUGCCAUAUAAAACAUGAAAAUUUCAUCCUAUUAAAUAAUUACAACAAAUAAAUAAACAAAUAAACUUAAUUGAAUUUUUUAGUCAAGAUUUGAGGAGAUUCACUGCAUGAACAAAGGAGAUGGAGAGAAAUUUUAGGGCUUUUUUUUUGGGUGAAAGCCCAUUUAGUCCAUGUAUUUUAAGAUUAGUGACCAUUUAGUCCUUUUAUUUUUAAAAAUGUCUCGAAACAUCCCUGCUGUUAAAGUAUUAAUACCCCUACCGUUACUUUUUAUUUCUUUUGGCUUACUUUUACAAUAUUAACCUUUUAUAAUAAUUUUUUUGUUUGGACAUUAAUAAAAAGAAAAUAAUUAAAUUACCAAAUUAACCAUAAAAAUGAAAAUUAAAAAUUUAUAUUAAUUUUUAACUGUCAAAAAUUGCAUGCAAACUACCAAGUGUGCAAAUGGUGCUUGCAAAAAAAUUAAUAUAAAUUUUAUUUUUUAUUUUUAGGGUUAAAUUAGUAAUUUAAUUUUUUUAUUAAUGUCCGAAAAAAUUAUUAUAAAAGGGUAAUAUUAUAAAAGUAAGUCAAAAGAAAUAAAAAGUAACAGUAGGGAUAUAAAUACUUUAACGAAAGGGAUGUUUUGAGGCAUUUUUAAAAAUAUAGGGACUAAAUAGACACUAAUAUUAAAAUAAAAUGACUAAAUAAACUUUUACCCUACUUUUUUUUUAAUCCUGUGAAUAGCCUAUGGCUAAAUUUUAGAUUAUCCCACGCCCCCUGGUUAUAAAAAUUAAAGUAGUGACAGUUAUAAUGCAUCUUCGCUUUAACAAUUGUGAGUAUGGGUUGUAAAUUUGCUUUCUAUCUAAUUAUGCUUUUGGCAUAUGCGCCUAAAUAUACACGUCAGGAAAUUGAAUUGUAUGUUUUUUACAAUAACUCUUUUUUUUUUUUUUGAAGGGAAAGUAAAGCUUUCCAUUAAACUGACUUUGAAAACAACAGCAAAAUAUUGUAUGGAAAAUUUUCCAGCCACAGAGCAGGUCUUUCAAAACUUAAAGCUAAUUUAGCUAAUGAAUCAACUAAAGCAUUACAAGCUCUCGGGACAUAUUGAAUUCUCGAGGGAUUUUGGUUUUUUGAAAACAACUGAAUGUCAGCAAUUGUCCAGGCUAUCUCUGUUAAGCUACCCUUUCUGUUGAUAGAUAGCUCCACCACCUCUGAUGAAUCUGAUUCAAUAAUCAUAGGCCUACAGUUUACUUGAAAAGCAUUUUGAAUACCAAAGAGGACAGCCUCAGCCUCCAUAUCAACCACAGAACCCUCAUAUAGAACUCUCUUAACAGCUGCAGCUAUGAUCUUUCCCCUGGAAUUCCUUAUCACUACCCCCAGACCCGCCUGCUGGGCUGAAGUAUUUAUUGCAGCAUCCACAUUCACUUUGUACCAACCUUCUGGGGGGCCCAUCCAAGUCUGAAUCUUUUUCCUGGGAGUCUUUAAGGUAGCUUGAUCCUUCGAGCAUUUUAUCCUCUUGUACGAUUCCACUAUGGCUUCUGCUCUUGCAACUGGUAAGAGGGGGUCCUCUUGUUUCCCCUUAAAAAUUUGGAUAUUUCUUGAAUGCUAGAUAGCCCAACAGAUUGCAGCUACCAUCUCCCUGCCUUCUUUGCUUCUUUUCAAAGCUACUUCUUGGAUCAUGCUUAAGAUAUCUUGUUGAGCCAUCAUCUUUAUAUCUUCGUAAAAUUCUGUCUUUUUCCAAACUCUUCUAGUAGCCUUACAUUCCAGUAAAGCAUGGACCACAUCUUCUCUCCUACACCCACAUCUUACGCACACUGGCUCCACCACAAUUUUCCUUUUCCAUAAGUUACUUGCUGUUGGCAGCAGAUUUUUGAUAGCCUUCCACAUAAAUAUUUUCACCUUUUCUGGAAGCUCGUCGGACCAAAAGACAUCCCAUCGUGAUUUGGAGCUAUCAGAACAACUUGGGACUUCUUUGAAUUUUUCCUUCACAUCUAUUUGGUAACCACUCAUAGCUGAGUAUUUCCCAUGCUUAUCAAACCGCCAUAUUAGAGCAUCUGGUUGAGGAGUUCCUCGGGAGAGGUAGUUUUAAAAUUUCUGCUGAAAUGUCCUCUGAGAAACUUUGAGCUAUUAGAUCUCCAUUCCAUUGCUGGCCAUCCUUUAUCAGAUCCGCCACAACAGCUUCAGGAUGUAGACUUGACCAAGGGACUAGUCUGAAAACACUAUUCUGAAUCCAAUUUUUGUUGUGCACUGAGAUUUGCUUCCCGUUCCCAAUCCUCCACCUCAAUCCCUCUUUUAGCAGUUGGGGAAGCACCGCUUGAGCCACCGCUUUUAUAAGAACUUCCUUCCCCCCACUGGAAAAAUAUUGUCUCUGCCAGCUAGAUAAUUUGCUCAACACUCGUAGCUUUAUGUCAUUAAAGAACCUAGUUUUUGCUCUCUCCACCAUAAAAGGAAGUCCAAGAUAUUUCUUAUGCUUGGACACUACAGCCAAAUCAAAAAUGCUGCUUAUUUCCUCCCUCAGCUGCUGACUUGUGCUAGAACUGAAAAACAUAGAGGACUUUUCAUAAUUGAAAAUCUACCUUGAGGCUACAGUGUAACAGUCAAAAACUUUCUUUAGCUCUCUGCGCUCAGCAUUAGAAGCUCUUAUGAACACUAGGCUGUCAUCUGCGAACAAAAGAUGAGUGACCAAAAUCUCUCUUCUGAAUUUCAAACCGUGAAAGAGGUUUUGACCUUCUGCUCUUACCAGUAAAUUUGAGAAUACUUCAGCACACAUAAUGAACAGGUAUGGCGAAAGCGGACAUUCUUGUCUUAAUCCACGUUGAGGAUGGAUGAGACCUUUUGCCAAUUCAUUUAUCAAGACUGAAAAGCUAGCUGUGGAUAUGCAAUUCAUAACCAAAUUCACCCACCUCACCGAAAAACCUAGCUUUUCCAUUGUUCCUUUAACAAAACUCUACUCCACCCUGUCAUAGGCCUUACUAAUGUCUAAUUUCAGAGCUAUCAAUCCAUUUCUGUCUAAUUUUGUUUAGACACUCAUAUCUUAUGAUUAUGUUAUCAGUUAUGAGCCUAUUAGGAAAUAAAGCACUUUGAUUGGGAGAUAUAAUAUCAUUCAGAACUAUUAGCUAUUGUUUUUCGACAAUUCUGUAAAUGACAUUACAAAGACUAAUUGGUCUUAACUCUGUCACUUUCCUAAGCUUUGACACUUUCGGGACUAAAGCAAUAAAAGUUUGGUUCAAAAGAGUAAGAUUACCUCCCUCAUUUAGGAUGUGCAGACAUGUUGAAACCACCCCCUCAUUGACAGAGCUCCAAUGCUUUUGGAAGAAGGCCACCGGAAGACCAUCUGGACCUGGUGCCUUUGUGGGACAGAUGGGCUUGAUGUGGUGAAAAUAUUUGUAAAAUAUUUUCACUACCUCGACAUCUUCAAUCCAAUCACCAUUUUCGUCUUCAAUGCCAUGGAUUCUGUUUUUUUUUUCCUCCUAGCCGAAGCCUUUGUAUGGAAAUAUUUUGUGUUCCUAUCACCCUCUUUCAGCCAAUCCACUCUCGAUCUUUGCUUCCAAAAAAUUUCUUCAUCAGCUAGAAUAUUAUCUAUCUAAUUUUCAACUCGUUUUAAUUCAUCUCCACUUUCAAAAUGAUAGUAAUCUUUUUUCAUGCUUUCCAGCUUGUUAACAAGUUUCUCCAGCUUCUUUUUCCUUCCAUUAAAUUCUCCAUUGCUCCAAAGUUUCAGCUCAGCCAAGGUUUCUUUCGAUUUUUUCAUGAAGAUUUCAGCCGGGUUGCUACUAUUCCAGCAACAUUGCUCCUUCCAUUCAUGCUUCACAAUUGUCUUGCACUUCUCGUACGGGCUCCACAUAUCUUCAUAAUGGAGCCUAGGAUAUGUUCUCUUCAUGUAGCCCUUGCCCCUGCCUUUCUCCAGCACUUCCAUCAUAAUCGAAAUGUGGUUCGAACUCCACGAAGUCAAAUUCGAAGCUACCUUUUCCUAAUAAAAGCUUCCCCAUUUUCUGUUGCACAAGAAUCUAUCGAGUUUCUCUUCGAUUAUGUGAGGCCCAAACCUCCUAUUUGAUCAAGUGAAAGGGUAUCCGCUACUUCCCAAAUCUUUCAAAUCACAGUCCCUCAUUGCUCUCCUAAACUCAUUCACCUCAUUUACCCGUUUCUCAUUUCCCCCAAUCUUCUCAUUUAAGUUCAACAUUUCAUUAAAAUCCCCAAAACACAGCCAUGGUAAUGAAGACAACUUUGUUAUCCUUCUCAACAGCUCCCAAGUGUGUUUUUUUUGUCAGAUUCAGGAUGUCCGUAAACCCCCGUGCACAUCCAAUAGCUUCCAUUUUCGCUAUGCACCACGGCAUCAACAUGGUGUUUACUGUAAGACUUGAUAUCAAUUGUAACCUCUUCAUUCCACAAUAAAGCCAAACCGCCCCCCCAAACCUUCUCUAUUAACUGCAAAGUAGUUUUGAUACCUCAACCUUUUUGCUUUCUCUUGCAUUUGCUUAACCUUCAAUUUAGUUUCAUAGAUGAACAUAAUUUCAGGCCUAUGCUCACACAAGAGUUGCUGGGCUUCUCAGAACGUUCGGUCAUUUCUCAGCCCCUGAACGUUCCAGCUAACGAUUUUCAUGGCUGUCAGCGAGGCUGUUUCACAGCCACCGCCGAUUUCUCAUUUCCAGCAUUCUCAAACUCCCCCUUGUCUUCCUCUUCCACAUUUUCAAAGCUGAGCCCCUUUGUUGCCAAGGCUUUUCCAAACCGUUGGUUGCUCCCCAUUUUUUGUGGGCUGUUCCCUUUGCACUUUUUUGGUUUUGGGCUUUCCCAGUUCAUUGAGCUUCUCAACCUUUUUAAUCCCAAAACUUCUUCAUUUGUUUCUAUAUUCCCUUCCACGUUGCGGGCUUGAAAUUUCCACGUUGCGGGCUUGAAAUUUCCACUUCUUUUUCUAUAUUCCCUUCCACGUUGCGGGCUUGAAAUUUCCACUUCUUUUUCUUGGGCUUUGAUUUAUCCAUUCUGAGCCCAUUCUCUCUAUUCUCCACUUCUGAUUUCGUUUGGAGUGAACACGUAUACAUGUUGAGCUUGUGGCCCCCCUCUUCUAUACUGCCUUUCCUUCCAUUUUCUUCUUGCUCCCCUUUUCCCGCUCUAUAUAAGCCCGCAUUUUGCAUUUUUACUGACUUUUUAUGUUGGAGGUUCGCUUCCCACUCUUUUUCUUUUCCAUCUAUAGUUCUUGCCUCCUUGUCCAUCUCCCACAGCACUGCACCUCCAUCUGCUUGAUUUUUACUGACAUUACAGCUGGCCGCUGGCUCUGCAGUCUUUUUUGCCUCUUUCAUUAAUUGUUCCCCAGUUCCCAAUUGAUCCCUGCUCCUCGUUCCACUCAAACUCCCCAUACCUGAAUCCAAUUCGGGCCUAUUGAGUCCAUAUUCUAUUUCAUGAACCCCUCCGUUUUGUUGGUCUUUCUCCAUCAUAUCAUUUUCUCCAGCCCUUUUAUUGGAUCUAAAGCAUUUGGAGGAUUGUUUCUGAAAUCUGAAUCCCAUCUAUCUUUCCUUCUACCCUGUUUCAAUUUCUCAGUAAUCGUGAGUGCCUUAAGCCAUGGACCAUACGGCAUUUCAUCCUUGGACUGAGAUUUAUAGUGGACACACUCUCUGUAUUAGUGACCUAUCCGCCCGCAACAGAAACAAAAAUCCAGCAGUCUUUCGUACAUGACCCGCAUAGGAAUGUCUUCCUCAUCCUCCCCUUUUUGCUCUAGCUCAAUUAGUUUCUUUAAAGGCUUCGUGACAUCCACAGAAAUUCUCAACCUCAAAAAUUGUCCAAAGCAUUCCCCAGUUGCAUCUGUUUCAAUUUCUUCAACUUUUCCAAUGACAUUUCCUAGCUCCAAUGCCAUCUCCUUUGACAUACACAUGAUGGGGAUAUUGUGUAUCUGCACCCAGAAUGAUACGUGAUUGAAUUUCUACUUCUUUACAUCACCAAUUCCCGCUGGUUCGGUGAGCACAAUGAGUGCUCUGUCAAAAUGCCAAGGGCCACCCGCCUCAGUUCCAAACUUAAACAUGAACACAUUAUCACCCAGAUCUUCUAUCUUUACUUCGCGUGAGGUUCUCCAUUCCCUUUGCAUAACAGACUUCAACCCCUCAAUACUGACUCCCCUCGUAUGCAGAACUUUCCCGAUCAAACACCCCGCAACUAUUUUUUCCCCAAUGGCCUUCAUUUGACUCUUGAAAGAAACUCUUCCCUCCUCUUCAUCACUCAACUUUAUCGCUCUACAUCUUCUGAUUAGCUCCUCUGGGUCCAUCCUCUCUAACUCACAGACUUGCAGGCUAGAAAGGAUUAGCUGGGAGCUUGGAGCCUUUAAGGAUUUGACUUUUGAAAGAGAAUUUCACCAACUACUCAACACUCUUUCACAGAUUGACUGACCUAAAUCCCGUACAUCAUUAAAUAAUGAAAGUGAUAAAAACAAUAGGAAGAAAACCCACCCCCAUCAGAGUGACUUAAAGGAGCCAUGACACCUCUAUUUUUCCUCUCAUCGUUGUAAGUUUUCAGAGAAAACUCAUAAGGAGAGAGACUGACAACUCAAACCUUAGUUCACAACAACUCUUAAAUACAUGGAUCCAUAUCUUUCUAUUUUCAAAAUGGUUGUGGAAAAGUAAAACUGUGUUACUCUCUCUUGGCAUUGGGCUAAUUCUCCGUGAGAAUCUUGAAAUAAAGUUAACUUUUAUAACUAGAGGGAGGACCAACUUCUUUUAUAAUUAAAAUAUUUAAUGUAAUAAAAUGUAUAAAUAUAUCUAAUAUGGGCUUAAUAAGAAUUCAUGUGCGACAUUAAAGGUAUGCUUGGUACCAUUUUUUGGUAAACCUUUUUUUUUUUUCAUUUUAUGACAAUACAAAAAUGUAAAACUCAUUUGGUGGAUGCAAAAAAUAUAAAAUUGAAUAGUUAUUGGUUUUUACUUUUUUUUCAUAAAGGUAAAAAACAUUAAAUUGAGGUUCUUUUAUCAUAUUUCUCAUUGAAUUCCCUCAAAAGUGAAAUAAAUCAUUAGAAAAAGGAGACAUACAUCCUUAAAAUUUGAAAAUUUUGUUAUGCAAACUCUUAAAUAUAAUAUAAUACCCUUUGGAUAUAGAAACUAGAAAAUUGACUUUAAAAGGUUUUAAUAAACUUUGCUGCUGUACGGCCAAGGCGGAUGUACGGUACAGCAGUUUAAUUUUAUAUUUAUAUUUAUUUUAAAGAUUUUAAAUAAAUCUUUGGAUUAAAAAGAUUUUACAAUUAGCAAAAUAUCUUCCUAUCAAUAAUAUUAAAAUUAUUUAUUGAUAAUAUUCCAAAUAAUUUAAAUUUAUUUAUUGUAAUAUUAUGUUUCUAUUUAUUAUUAAAAUUACUUUAAUAUGAUAAAAUAUGCAUCGCAGAUUCUAAAGUAUAAAAAUAUUUUCUUUGCUUGUCAACAAAUGUUUUUUUCCUGAAAACCAAAAUAAAAUUAGAGUGAUAAUAGAGCUACAAACUCUUGUACAAACUUAUUUCGUACAAACUGAUGCGUCAUUAAUUCAUUGGUUGAAUGAAAAUAUAAAAUAAUAGAAAUAAAUCAUGUGGGCCAAGAGAUAUUUAAUUCAACCAAUGAAUUAACGGCAUAUCAGUUUGUACAAAAUAAGUUUGUAUAAGAGUUUGUGGCUAUAUCAUUACUCAUAAAAUUAUGUCAACAUCAAUUCUUCAACACAGCAACAUUUGCUACCCUGCUUUAUGUUUAAUACUACUCUUUCCAUGCCCAAAAAUUCAAAAAUUUUUAAUGGGUCUUGUUACUGGGCUUCUGGCAGUAAUAACAUUGAAGGCAUUUUGAUUUUAAAUUUCUUUUAAAAGAAAAAUUCUUUAAAUUAAAAAAAAGAAAAGAAAAGAAAAAAUUGAUUUAAGAUGAAGGUUGGAUCCCUAUUCUUUUCAGAAGGCACGCGUCUCGAAGAACAUGUAUCACGUGUCUAAGAGAAAAAUGAGCAAUAAUGCCGUAUUUGCGGAAUUUAGCCACUUCGCCAGUUUCUUGGCAUCUUCCUUGCAAAUUCUUCCAUAGUGUUUAAUUUUCCAUAGUGUUUUAAUAUUCAACAUUUCUUGAAGCAAAUAACAAUACAUCUGGGUGCUACAGACAGAAGGAGAUAUGCUGGACGUCCACCUCCGACUAUUUUGUGAGAGGUUGAAAAGGGUGUUAGCUGGUGAAGAAGGCACGUUGACGUUGCGUGAUUCAACAAAUUUAGCCAUCUAGCUACAUAGAUCAUUCACCAGAUGAUAUUUGGAGGAUGCAAAAACUCAUGUAUCUAAACUUCGGUUUCAUCAAUCUGCCCGCACCUCAAAAAAAUUAUUGCAGCUCUCUGAAAAAUCUCAUUUUCUUAUCAGCCUUACACCCUAGCAGUUGCACUCCAGCUAUAUUGGGCAGACUACCAAUUGUCCAAAGUCUAAGAAUAUCUGGAGAUUUGAGUUACUAUCAAUCUGGGGUUUCCAAAAGCCUAUGCGAACUGCACAAACUUGAAUGCUUGAAGCUGGUGAAUGGGAGCAAGCGCUCACGGAUUGUCCUGACUGAAUACCAACUUCCUCCAAGUCUGAGCCAUACGAGCAUAUCGAACACUGAGCUAAUUGAGGAUCCCAUGCCAAUGCUGGAAAAGCUUCCACGCCUUCAAGUGCUGAAACUGAAGCAGAACUCGUAUUUAGGAAGAAAGCUGGCCUGCGUUGGCUCUGGUGGCUUUCCGGAACUUAAGAUUUUGCACCUGAAGUCAAUGUAUUGGCUAGACGAGUGGACGAUGGGGGCAGGAGCAAUGCCAAAACUUGAAACCUUAAUUGUCAACCCAUGUGCUUACUUGAGAAAGCUUCCAGAAGAGCUAUGGUGCAUAAAGAGCUUGUGCAAAUUGGAUUUACAUUGGCCUCAGACAGAGUUGAGACAAAGACUACGGACUUUCGAGGAUAUGGAGUGGCGGUAUGACAUCCAGUUAUAUCCUUACGGAAUCUGAUAGAUUGAAUUGGGUGACUUUUAAUCUAAUCUGAUAACUCAUACUUCUGUUACUUGCCUCAUUUUAUAUGCAACUUUUUNNNNNNNNNNNNNNNNNNNNNNNNNNNNNNNNNNNNNNNNNNNNNNNNNNNNNNNNNNNNNNNNNNNNNNNNNNNNNNNNNNNNNNNNNNNNNNNNNNNNNNNNNNNNNNNNNNNNNNNNNNNNNNNNNNNNNNNNNNNNNNNNNNNNNNNNNNNNNNNNNNNNNUGUAUCUAUCUAAUAAUUAGAACUGUAAAAGUUGAUUUUCAUCUAUGAUUCUUAUUUCCUUUUACUUGUGUAGACAAAAUCGGCAAGGGAAAUAUUGUAAUUCAGUAUUUGCUAUAACUGAUGCCAUGGUUGCAAUAUUGUCUACAAACAUGAAUAGUUGUACUCCUUUCUCUAUUUUUUGAAUUUUUUGGUAUGUAUGUUUGUGUAUUUGUUUUAGUUACUGUUUUAUGCUUAGAAGUGCUCCAUUUAGGCCCUAGAUACAUGCAGGUACGGUUUGGCUAGCUGUGGACUUGUAUGGUUUUCUAGUUAAAGAAAAUAUCAAUCUUCUAGAAAAACUGCCUCAUGCGUGUACAUUUCUGCUUCAUUUUAGUUGCUGCCUCAUGCAUAAAAUUAUGUACAACUAUACAUUUCUUAUUAAUUUAUGCAUGUAGUGAUGUUUUGAAUCAUAUCGGAGAAUCGUUUAUAUUUAUUAAGACUCAAUGUACAUGCAAUUUGUAGUAUCGCCCAGAGAUCUGCCAAGCAUUAGCUUAGAAAAAUACUCUGUCCAAAUUCAGAGAAAUUAGCCCGGGUCAUAUUUAAAUAAAUAAAUAUAAGGCCCUAAUUGAAAUGCCAUUGUAUUUUCUUAAAUUUCAAUUAAUUAUCAAAUAGAAAAAUGGCAAGUCACAUUUGAACUUAUUUACAAGCAUAGCUCUUGAUAUUUAAAUAAAUAUAUAUAUAUUUAGAUAUACCUUCAAUUGGCCUAUCUCCUCUCAUAAUAUUUCUUUCAUUCAUAACUAUUGGAUAAAGAUUAGAAUUUGAUCAAUGAAAAAAAGAUAAACAAUUACCAAUUCUAAUUGAAAUGCCAUUGUAUUUUCUUAAAUUUCAAUUAAUUAUCAAAUAGAAAAAUGGCAAGUUUUUUUUGCUUCUUGAUUUUGAUUGGGAAAACUACUGAGACAGAGAUCUUUAAUUGCUAGACAUCUUCAAUAAAUGACUCCUAGCUAAAACUCCCAAAAACUAUUCAUAGAUAUCAAUUAUUAAUGCAUAUUUACUCAACAAAAAAUUAUGAUAUAUUCCAAAUAUCAUAAUUUUUUUUCCCUCUUAUUAUUUCUGAAGUUAUUUUCUUCCUGUUUCUAAUGUUUCUCUAAUUCUUAAUCCCUUAAUGAUGAGGCGAGAAAGAUUACGAAAGUCAAACUGAUUAAAACUACAUAUAUAAAUAUUAGAAUCCAAACGUCCCGUGCCCAAAUCCUGUUGAACAACUAAUCUACAAGGGCAUUGGCCAGAGGCAAAUGAAGAUGGUUGAAUGAUUAAUUACUUUAAACAAAAAAUAAGUCGAAAUCUAUGAAUAGAAUUUUCCUUUCUUUAUACAUAUUCAAUUAUAACAAACGAUUAUUAAAUUACUCCCAACGAAAGGAUUAGGUUUUUCAUUAUUGCAAUUAAACAAGAUUCUCAUUUUCUCGCAUCGCGUGCAUUGCAAGUUGCAACAAUCGAAAACUCUUGCCGAUGCUAUUAGUAUAAUGUAUAAUGUGAGUGGCCGCAAAAAUGCUCUGCUGAUUUGACACCGGUGUAACUGUAAACUAAACUUUUAUUAUUAAGUAAAACAAACACAUGUUAACAAAAAGAACAAUAAUUCAUCAAUUUGUACAUUGACAACUAAAUAACUAUAAUUUUUUUUUGUUAAAUCUCUAUUUAUAAAAACUCUACUAACAAAAGCCCUCCUUAAAUAAAUUCUAGUUAAAAAGUUAUACCAAACGGAGCCAUAAUAUAAUUACAAAUUUCCUAACUAAGCUACAUUAUUAUGCACCUUAGCAAUUAAAGCAAAUACUAUUGACUUGAGGAAGCACUUUUUGUGUUUCUUUAUUAGUGUGUGCAUGUACCAAACAAACUCUUCUUAAAAGCGAAAACAAAUCUCUCUUUAAAUUAAUAAAUAUUAAUUUAUCAUGAUAAAUUUUUCAUUCAAUAAAUAAAUAAAUAACUUAUCUAAAAUAAUAUUUUUUCUUAGUCCUAACAAUAUUAUUUUAUAGAUAUUGUUCUACAUUACUGUGCAAUAAUGAAAAUUUUUUAUAUUUUUAAAAAUAUAGUUACAAUCUAGAUACAUGUACGUUGAUAAUACAACUUUGAAAUAUAUCAAGACAAUUUUGAAAAUCUACUUCUACUAAUAAUAAUAUUAUGGAGAAAUUAAUUGUCACGUGGCUGCUAUAGAGUCUUAUUCAACAGGGUAAUUGUUGUUAUAGUCAAAACAAAUAUUUAGUUUUUAUUUACUUGUUGAAGUGGUCCACUAAAUCAGCACUUGGUGCUAUCAUUUAGCUGUGUCUUUGUUAUUUUCUGUUAAUGUCUUUGUAUAAAUUCAUAGUCCGAAGAUGAAUAAAAGCCUUGGUUACGUUGGCACGUAAUUUUCUUCAAAGAUGAAUGAAGGCUUCCAAUUAAUUUUCUUCAAAGUUCCUCUAGUAUUGGAAGCCUUGGUCUUCCUCGAAAUAGACCAAGUUCAGCUGAUCGUUCUUUAUUUAAUUAACUACUACAAUAGGGAAAUGAAAGAAAACGAUCCUGAAAAGGCAUGAUUCCUUAUAAGAUCGCUAAUGCUCAAAAUAAGUGGCUCAUAGAAAGACAAUGACCAGUAAUGAACAUAACAUAAUGGGUUCAAUUUCUAUCAACUUGUUUGAUAGUGUAGAUGUGGGAUGGAGAUGGAUUAAAGGAACCUCUUUUGAAAAGCAUCGAAAAUGAAUAAAGUGGGAAAAUCAAGAUAAGCAUGUUUGGUGGAUGCAUUUUUUGAAUUACAAACAAAAAAUACAAAAUUGAAUAGUUCUUGGUUUCCACUUUUUUCAUAAAGGUAAAGAAUGUUAAAUUAAUGUUCUCUGAUGAUAUUUCUUAUCGGAUUUCCCUCAAAAGCAAAAUAAAUUGUCGGAAAAAUAAUACCUACUUCCUUAAAUUUUAAAAAAAUUAUCAUUUAGACCCUGAAAUUUUAAAACAGUUGCACCAAAAUCUUUUCUUUAACUAUGAUACCUCUUGAAUGUACUAACUAAAAAAUUGACUUUAAAAAAUUUUAAUCAAUACGAAUAUAAUAUAAAUAAUAAAAUCUACGUAGUAGGCUAAUAACAUUAUGAGCUAUUUUCCUAGAGGGUAUAACGCUGAUGACAAUGAGGAGAAUCACUUAAUUAACGUAUUGAAAUAGCAACUUGGUUUAGAUCUACAAUGCCACUUGCUAUAUGAAAACGUAUAUAAUCAUAAUUAAUUAGCGAAAAGGACGUUGUAAUUAUCUGAAUUAAGUAAUAAACGCUUCAACUAAUCUACAAGGGCAUUGGCCAGAGGCAAAUGAAGAUGGUUGAAUGAUUAAUUACUUUAAACAAAAAAUAAGUCGAAAUCUAUGAAUAGAAUUUUCCUUUCUUUAUACAUAUUCAAUUAUCACAAACGAUUAUUAAAUUACUCCCUACGAAAGGAUCAGGUUUGUCAAUAUUGCAAUUAAACAAGAUUCUCAUUUUCUCGCAUCGCGUGCAUUGCAAGUUGCAACAAUCGAAAACUCUUGCCGAUGCUAUUAGUAUAAUGUAUAAUGUGACUGGCCGCAAAAAUGCUCUGCUGAUUUGACACCGGUGUAAUUGUAAACUAAACUUUUAUUAUUAAGUAAAACAAACACAUGUUAACAAAAAGAACAAUAAUUCAUCAAUUUGUACAUUGACAACUAAAUAACUAUAAUUUUUUUUGUUAAAUCUCUAUUUAUAAAAACUCUACCAACAAAAGCCCUCCUUAAAUAAGUUCUAGUUUAAAAAUUAUACCAAAUGGGGUCAUAAUAUAAUUACAAAUUUCCGAACUAAGCUACAUUAUUAUGCACCUUAGCAAUUAAAGCAAAUACUAUUGACUUCAGGAAGUACUUUUUGUGUUUCUUUUAUUAGUGUGUGCAUGUACCAAACAAACUCUUCUUAAAAGCGAAAACAAAUCUCUCUUUAAAUUAAUAAAUAUUAAUUUAUCAUGAUAAAUUUUUCAUUCAAUAAAUAAAUAAAUAACUUAUCUAAAAUAAUAUUUUUUCUUAGUCCUAACAAUAUUAUUUUAUAGAUAUUGUUCUACAUUACUGUGCAAUAAUUAAAAUUUUUUAUAUUUUUUAAAAUAUAGUUACAAUCUAGAUACAUGUACGUUGAUAAUACAACUUUGAAAUAUAUCAAGACAAUUUUGAAAAUCUACUUCUACUAAUAAUAAUAUUAUGGAGAAAUUAAUUGUCACGUGGCUGCUAUAGAGUCUUAUUCAACAGGGUAAUUGUUGUUAUAGUCAAAACAAAUAUUUAGUUUUUAUUUACUUGUUGAAGUGGUCCACUAAAUCAGCACUUGGUGCUAUCAUUUAGCUGUGUCUUUGUUAUUUUCUGUUAAUGUCUUUGUAUAAAUUCAUAGUCCGAAGAUGAAUAAAAGCCUUGGUUACGUUGGCACGUAAUUUUCUUCAAAGAUGAAUGAAGGCUUCCAAUUAAUUUUCUUCAAAGUUCCUCUAGUAUUGGAAGCCUUGGUCUUCCUCGAAAUAGACCAAGUUCAGCUGAUCGUUCUUUAUUUAAUUAACUACUACAAUAGGGAAAUGAAAGAAAACGAUCCUGAAAAGGCAUGAUUCCUUAUAAGAUCGCUAAUGCUCAAAAUAAGUGGCUCAUAGAAAGACAAUGACCAGUAAUGAACAUAACAUAAUGGGUUCAAUUUCUAUCAACUUGUUUGAUAGUGUAGAUGUGGGAUGGAGAUGGAUUAAAGGAACCUCUUUUGAAAAGCAUCGAAAAUGAAUAAAGUGGGAAAAUCAAGAUAAGCAUGUUUGGUGGAUGCAUUUUUUGAAUUACAAACAAAAAAUACAAAAUUGAAUAGUUCUUGGUUUCCACUUUUUUCAUAAAGGUAAAGAAUGUUAAAUUAAUGUUCUCUGAUGAUAUUUCUUAUCGGAUUUCCCUCAAAAGCAAAAUAAAUUGUCGGAAAAAUAAUACCUACUUCCUUAAAUUUUAAAAAAAUUAUCAUUUAGACCCUGAAAUUUUAAAACAGUUGCACCAAAAUCUUUUCUUUAACUAUGAUACCUCUUGAAUGUACUAACUAAAAAAUUGACUUUAAAAAAUUUUAAUCAAUACGAAUAUAAUAUAAAUAAUAAAAUCUACGUAGUAGGCUAAUAACAUUAAAGUAUAUUUAACAUUUAAAAUAAUAUUAAAAUUUUCAAAUUAUGAUUUUUAUUUUAAUCUUAUAUUUGUAUUUAUUAUAGAGAUUUUAAAUAAACCUUUGGAUUAAAAAGAUUUUAAAACGAGGUCCGGCGACUUUCCGGCGAUGUCCGACGGUGGUCCGGCGAGGUCCGGUGGUGGUCCGGCGACUUUCCGGUGGAAGUCCAUUUAUAAUAUUAAAUUAAUAAAAUAAAAUAAUAAUUAUUAAUAAUAUUAAAUAAGUUAAAAAAUUAAAGGGUAAUUUUAAAAACUUUAAUUUUUAAUAUAAGAGGAAUUUAAAAUUUUCACUAGUUAAUAUAAGAGAAUAUUAGAUUUUUUUGUUUUUUUUUUUAUUUUAGUUUAACAAUAUAAAUUUUUUUAAUUUUAAAUGGAUAAAUUAAUUGAAUUUUGGAUGUCCAUUAAAUAUUCAUACCCAUCCAAUAUCCAAUUGGAUAUUUUUAAAAAUAUCCAUAUCCAUAUCCAAAAAGAUUUUGGAUGGAUAUUAUCCAAUCCAAUUGGAUUGGAUAUAUGGAUAUCCAAUUUGGAUGGACCAAUUUGCCAUCCCUACUAAUAACAUUAAAGUAUAUUUAACAUUUAAAAUAAUAUUAAAAAUUUCAAAUUAUGAUUUUUAUUUUAAUCUUAUAUUUGUAUUUAUUAUAGAGAUUUUAAUAAACCUUUGGAUUAAAAAGAUUUUAAAAUUAACAAAAUGUCUUCCUAUUAAUAAUAUUAACAUUAUUUUUUAUAAUAUUCCAAAUAAUUUAAACUUCAAUUUAUUUAUUGUAAUAUUAUGUUUCUAUUUAUUAUUAAAAUUACUUUAAUAUGAUAAAAUAUUUUCUUGCUUGUCAAAAAAUUUUUUUUUCCACGAAAGCCAAAAUAAAAUUAUGUCAAUAUCAAUUCUUUAACAGAACAACCUUAGGCCUUUCUAAUGUUUAAUACUACUAUUUCCAUGCCCAAAAAUUGUAAAAUUUUUAAUUAGUCCUGUUACUGGGCUUGAGGCAGUUACGCCAGUGAAGGCAAUUUGAUAUUAAAAUAUUUUUUAAUGAAAAAUUCUUUAAAUUAAAAAAGAAACAAUUGAUUUAAGCACCAAUAAUUAUGUCAUGGUAGUAAUUAAAUAAGAUAAAGGUUGGAUACCGAUUGGGAUACCUGUUCUUUUCAAAAGGCACGCAUCUUGGACUUUUCUCUAAAUGAACGCGUAUCAAUUUUUUGAGUUAAAAAAAGAGCAAUAAUGUCAUAUUUGUGGAAUUUAGCCACUUACACAGUUUCUUGGCAUCUUCCUUUCAAAUUCUCCCAUGGUGUUUAAUCUUUCAACUAUACCUCUGAGUGCUACGGAGAGAAGGAGAUAUGCUGGAAUUCCACCUCCGACUGUUUUGUGAGAGGUUGAAAAGGGUGUUAGCAGGUGAAGAAGGCACGUUGCCGCUGCCAGAUUCAACAAAUUUAACUCCACUUUUUCAAAACCUUCUUACGGAGUCCGAAAUUAUUGCUACUACUCUGCUGGAAAAAAAUGAAGCUGACAUGGCUCGGCAUUUGUUUCAACUCAUUAGAGAAGAAUUCGAUGAAUCCAAAAUAUCUUCGCCUUUUUUGCAACUGUUGGACUUAGAAGAAAGCGAUGAAGAAGUCGUUGAAACAGCAGAUAUUUUUGAAAUUCUGGAGGACAUCAAUGACUUUGUCCAUGAAUCUGAGGAAGCCAUUGACACACUCUUCAUCAACAUCAUGCAGCAGCAAAACAGUGAAAACGAAAGUGAAAGCAGUACUAAUAUGGCUCUUCUUGCUGGUCUCCACAGUAAAAUCAUUGAUAUUAGUAAUCGGAUGCAACAACUUCCACCCGGCGACAAUGGUUUUGAUAUCAGUGAAAAAAGUAACGAAAUCAUUCGCCUAUUGAGUGAGGGACAACCUCGGCUCGAUAUCAGUGAAUUUGAAAGGGGCAGAGAGAAGUUUUUUGAUCUAUUGAUUGAGGGACCAUCUGGGCUUUCAGUGGUUGCAAUUCUCGACAGCAGUGGCUUCGAUAUUUUUCAUAAAGGUAAAGAAUGUUAAAUUAAUGUUCUCUGAUGAUAUUUCUUAUCGGAUUUCCCUCAAAAGCAAAAUAAAUUGUCGGAAAAAUAAUACCUACUUCCUUAAAUUUUAAAAAAAUUAUCAUUUAGACCCUGAAAUUUUAAAACAGUUGCACCAAAAUCUUUUCUUUAACUAUGAUACCUCUUGAAUGUACUAACUAAAAAAUUGACUUUAAAAAAUUUUAAUCAAUACGAAUAUAAUAUAAAUAAUAAAAUCUACGUAGUAGGCUAAUAACAUUAAAGUAUAUUUAACAUUUAAAAUAAUAUUAAAAAUUUCAAAUUAUGAUUUUUAUUUUAAUCUUAUAUUUGUAUUUAUUAUAGAGAUUUUAAAUAAACCUUUGGAUUAAAAAGAUUUUAAAAUUAACAAAAUGUCUUCCUAUUAAUAAUAUUAACAUUAUUUUUUAUAAUAUUCAAAAUAAUUUAAACUUUAAUUUAUUUAUUGUAAUAUUAUGUUUCUAUUUAUUAUUAAAAUUACUUUAAUAUGAUAAAAUAUGCAUAAUAAAUUUUAAAAAAUAAAAUAAUUUUCUUGCUUGUCAACAAUUUUUUUUUUUCCACCAAAACCAAAAUAAAAUUAUGUCAAUAUCAAUUCUUUAACAGAACAACCUUAGGCCUUUCUAAUGUUUAAUACUACUAUUUCCAUGCCCAAAAAUUGUAAAAUUUUUAAUUAGUCCUGUUACUGGGCUUGAGGCAGUUACGCCAGUGAAGGCAAUUUGAUAUUAAAAUAUUUUUUAAUGAAAAAUUCUUUAAAUUAAAAAAGAAACAAUUGAUUUAAGCACCAAUAAUUAUGUCAUGGUAGUAAUUAAAUAAGAUAAAGGUUGGAUACCGAUUGGGAUACCUGUUCUUUUCAAAAGGCACGCAUCUUGGACUUUUCUCUAAAUGAACGCGUAUCAAUUUUUUGAGUUAAAAAAAGAGCAAUAAUGUCAUAUUUGUGGAAUUUAGCCACUUACACAGUUUCUUGGCAUCUUCCUUUCAAAUUCUCCCAUGGUGUUUAAUCUUUCAACUAUACCUCUGAGUGCUACGGAGAGAAGGAGAUAUGCUGGAAUUCCACCUCCGACUGUUUUGUGAGAGGUUGAAAAGGGUGUUAGCAGGUGAAGAAGGCACGUUGCCGCUGCCAGAUUCAACAAAUUUAACUCCACUUUUUCAAAACCUUCUUACGGAGUCCGAAAUUAUUGCUACUACUCUGCUGGAAAAAAAUGAAGCUGACAUGGCUCGGCAUUUGUUUCAACUCAUUAGAGAAGAAUUCGAUGAAUCCAAAAUAUCUUCGCCUUUUUUGCAACUGUUGGACUUAGAAGAAAGCGAUGAAGAAGUCGUUGAAACAGCAGAUAUUUUUGAAAUUCUGGAGGACAUCAAUGACUUUGUCCAUGAAUCUGAGGAAGCCAUUGACACACUCUUCAUCAACAUCAUGCAGCAGCAAAACAGUGAAAACGAAAGUGAAAGCAGUACUAAUAUGGCUCUUCUUGCUGGUCUCCACAGUAAAAUCAUUGAUAUUAGUAAUCGGAUGCAACAACUUCCACCCGGCGACAAUGGUUUUGAUAUCAGUGAAAAAAGUAACGAAAUCAUUCGCCUAUUGAGUGAGGGACAACCUCGGCUCGAUAUCAGUGAAUUUGAAAGGGGCAGAGAGAAGUUUUUUGAUCUAUUGAUUGAGGGACCAUCUGGGCUUUCAGUGGUUGCAAUUCUCGACAGCAGUGGCUUCGAUAGGACUGCUUUUGCUGCAGAUACUUACAACAAUAAUCAUGUAAAGUUCUAUUUUGACUGUCUUGCUUGGGUCAGGGUUUCUGUAUUCUACGAUUUUCGCAUGAUAUUGGAUGACAUAAUCAAGUCUGUGAUGCCUCCAUCUCGGGUGAGUGUAAUUAUCGGUGAAGAUUAUCAAUUCAAGGAAUCUAUUCUUCGAGAUUACCUAACAAACAGGAAGUACUUUAUUGUGCUUGAUGAUGUCUGCGAUAACAUUGAGAUAUGGGAUGAUCUUGAAGAAGUUCUUCCUGAUAAUCAGAAUGGAAGCAGAGUAUUGAUAUUGGUCACUGAUCCAGACCUCCUUGCGUCGUUGGAAAUGGAAAACGGAGAGAAGAUUCGGCUUGCUUCGGUGCUCAUUGGAGGACCAUUGAUCAGAUUAAAGCAUGAAGCCUGGCAAUUUUUCGUCCUACACCAUGGAAGUAUGCCAUUAGAAAAUUAUGUUCAAGGCGAAGCGAUUCCGACAGUUUGGAGACAAAUUUUCUCUGUGAUGGAGUUACCUUUUCACUUGAAAGUCUGCUGCAUCUAUUUGUGUGUCUUCCCACCAGGCAUUGAGAUAUCCACGAGGCAAUUAUAUCAGUUGUGGGUAGCUGAAGGUUUCAUACCAUACAACGAUGAAGAAACUGCCGAACAUUACUUGAAAGAACUAAUCCAUCGCGGCUUCAUUCAAGUGAGUAAGAGAAGAGCCGGAGGCACAAUUAAAGCUUGUUAUGUUCCAAGUCUUGCAUAUACUCCAAUGGUUUUGGUGGCAGAGAAGACGGGAUUUGUCUGGAUGCCUGAAAUGGAAGGGGGAUCAGUGGCAUAUGUUAAACGGUGCUUCAUUUUGGAUGAUCUGAUUGACUUCUUUUCUUUGAAGCAUUCUGACAUGUACCUCCAAUCUUUUAUGAAUCACAGUUCAGAAAGCGAUCGUCUCGCUCUGAUAGAUUGCGAGAAUUUUUGUAAAAAGUUCAAACACCUUCGGGUAUUGAAUUUGGGUUCUGCAGUCCUGGACCAAUAUCCACCCGGAUUAGGAAAUUUAUAUCUUUUGAAGUAUUUGAAAUUGAAUAUCCCUUCGCUCAAAUGCCUUCCUUCACUGCUCUGCACCCUUUUAAACCUUCAAACACUAGAAAUGCCAUCUAGCUACAUAGAUCAGUCGCCAGAGGAUAUUUGGAUGAUGCAAAAACUCAUGCAUCUAAACUUUGGUUCUAUCACUCUGCUGUACGGCCAAGGCGGAUGUACGGUACAGCAGAAUAUGUAUAAUAAAUUGUAAAAUACAAAAAUAUUUUCAAAAAAUUAUUCUAGCUCUCUGAAAAAUCUCAUUUUCAUAUCAGCUUUAAACCCUAGUAGUUGUACUCCUGAUAUAUUGGGCAGACUACCUAGUGUUCAGACUCUUCGGAUAUCUGGAGAUUUGAGUUACUAUCAAUCUGGGGUUUCCAAAAGCCUUUGCGAACUCCACAAACUUGAAUGCUUGAAGCUGGUGAAUGAGAGCAAGCCCUCACGGAUGGUCCUGUCUGAAUACCAAUUUCCCCCAAGUCUGAUCCAACUGAGCUUAUCAAAUACUGAGCUAAUGGAGGAUCCCAUGCCAAUUCUGGAAAAUCUUCCACGCCUUCGAGUGCUGAAACUGAAGCAGAACUCGUAUUUAGGAAGAAAGCUUGCUUGUGUUGGCUUGAGUAGCUUUCCCGAACUUAAGGUUUUGCACCUGAAAUCAAUGUAUUGGCUAGAUGAGUGGACGAUGGGGGCUGGAGCAAUGCCGAAACUUGAAAGCUUAAUUGUCAACCCAUGUGCUUACUUGAGAAAGCUUCCAGAAGAGCUGUGGUGCAUAAAGAGCUUGCGCAAAUUGAAUUUACAUUGGCCUCAGACAGAGUUGAGACAAACACUACGGACUUUCGAGGAUAUGGAGUGGCGGUAUGACAUCCAGUUAUAUCCUUACGGAAUCUGAUGGAUUGAAUUGGGUGAGUUUUAAUCUUUUCUGAUAACUCAUAUUUUUAUAUGCAUUUUCUUUUUUUUCCCACUUUCUCAAUAGAUUUAUAUUUAUGGUAAAACCUUCAAGGAGGUCAUAAAAAUGCCAAACUAAUUGAGAUUGCUUCUGAUGUCAAAAUUAUGUCUCAGCAUAGACUCAGCUUGGGUGGCAAAACAGAGUGGGAUAGCCACACAUUGCAGCAGAGAAACAAAGAAAGAUCCCCCUUUUAUCAAUCUAAUAAGAACCGUAAAAGCAGAUUUUCAUUUAUUAUUCUUAUUUUCACUUACGUAGGCAAAAUUGGAGAGGGAAACAACGCCAGCCGGACUUUCAGUUUCAAUUUUAAUUCAGCAUUGAUUCAUGAGACAGGGCAUUGUUUUAUUUAGCAGAUUUCGAGGAUUUGCUAUAAACAUGCCAUGGUUGCAAUGUUGUCUACAAACUUGAACUUUUGCACUCCUUUUGCUAUUUUGAAUUUGCUGGUAUGUAUGUGUGUAUUCUGUUUUAAUAUAUAUAUAUAUAUUCUGUUUUAUGCUUAGAAGUAUUCCAUUUAAACCCCCGACUUGCAGGUAUGGUUUGCUAGUCAAAGAAAUAUCAAUUUUCUAGGAAAAAUUCCUCAUUUUAGUUGCUGAUUGCACGUUCAAUUUCGUUCUUAGAAUAUUCGUUCUCAUUAAAAUGAUGCACGCACUGAUGUUUUGAAUCAUAUCAGAGAAUCAUUUGUAUUUAUUGAGAGUCAAUUACAACUGAUGUAGCAGGAUUUUAGGUCAUAUGAGAACAAGCAUGUAGGAAAAAAUUCAUCUAGAAAAUUAGUGCAGCCGCACUUUCAAUCGAAUUGCUAUUAUGAACAACAAUUCAUGAGUAAAUCGUUGUUCAAACUACAGGUAGCUUAUACAAACUUAAAUGGCUUUUGAGUAGAAGCAAUGUCAACGCUAGGAAUUCAAUACAAAAGCAGUCAAGUUCAAGUAGUAAUAUGAUUUAAAAAACUCUCGAUAAGAUAACAAGUAUUAAAUUUUUAAAAUUUCAUUGAAAUAUUUUCAUACAAUCAAUUUAAUUGCGGCCGUCUUCCAAAUGUUUUCAUAUUUUAAAUUGUUGAAUCAUAAUCAACCUCUUUAUCAGCACCACAAAAAAUAUCAUUUCUAAUGCAAACAACUAGGUUAUUGCUUAUCAUUGUCUAAUAGAGCAUAUUAGCAGCUAUCAUAAAAAUAAAAAAAAAAAUUAUUGUCUGAUUUUAAGAUACUUUCAAGUUUGACCCCCUACCUCAAUUGUCAGAGAGGGGAAAAAAAGAGUAAAUAACAUGAAAAGAAAGUAUAUGAAGUCAAAAAAAAGGUUGGGAAUAAGUAAUAUACAAAUGUAAGGCUGCUUCGAUCACAUUUGAAGUUAAUGACAAGCAUAGCUCUUCAUAUUUAAGUAAAUAUAAAAUAGAAUAUUAGCUGUUGAAUAGAUUAUAAGCAUAGAUCUUGACUUUUGAAUUUAAUUACAGAAAUUUUGGUGGAUUGGUGAACAGAAGAAAUCCAUUCGUUCCACCAAUUACAUUGAGGAUUUUAAUGAAUCCCAAUCUCAGGUAACAUGUUAAUGCCAACAGUACUGGCAAGAUAUCAAAUGCGGGAGAUUCGAGACUAUUAGCUUUAAGAGAACCAAUAGAGACUGACAAGUUAGAAAUAACUUGCUAAGUUGAGAAGUACGACUGACAAAAUGAAUAUAGUGGGAAAAUCAAGAUAAGCUAAUAGUUUUCUGUUUCUGCAUCUCUCUUACCGUCUCUGUUAUAUUUGCUUUUAACAACUCAAAUAUUUAGGAUUUAUUUACCAAUUGUUAUUCUACGUCACAAAUACUCUGUUUUUUUUUUCUUUUUUCUUUAAUCGCUCUGUUUUAUACUUUUGACAUAUCUUUUAGGUCUUUAGUCUACCAAAUAAUCAUAAAUAAAGCAUAUAAAAUGUAUUUCUAAUUUCAGAAGGCAUCUAGGACUUUAUUCUCUGCUUUACUUCUAAAUUAAUUAGCCAAAGGAAGUUUGGCUUUCAGCAGAGCACUUUAAAAAGAAAAUGAGAAAUGAGUCAUCUUUAACUAUUAUGCUCAUCCUUAAUGUCUCCACGUUAACAAUUGUAAGGAAGUGAGGACUGUAAAUUUACUUUCUGUCUAUUUAUUCUUUUGAGAAUCGUUUGUAUUUAUUGAGAGUCAACAUACAUACACUUUGUAGUAUAGCCCAGAGAUCUGCGAUCCACUCCCACCAAUACUCGGAGAGAUAUCUAAUGCUAUCCAGAUUCAUAAAAAUGAGCCUCAUUAAAAGCCUAGUGGCGAUAUGAGUUUUUUUCCUCAAGAAAUGUUUCUGUAAAUUGCUUAAAUAUUGGUGGGGAUGCAUAAUUGUAACCCAGUUGAUUAAUUUCUAACACAACUGAUGUAGCAGGAUUUUGGGUCAUACGAGAACAAGCAUGUAGGAAAAACUUCAUCUAGAAAAUUAGUGCAGCCGCACUUUCAAUCAAAUUGCUAUUAUGAACAAGUAUUAAAUUUUUAAAAUUUCAUUGAAAUAUUUUCAUACAAUCAAUUUAAUUGCGGCCGUCUUCCAAAUGUUUUCAUAUUUUAAAUUGUUGAAUCAUAAUCAACCUCUUUAUCAGCACCACAAAAAAUAUCAUUUCUAAUGCAAACAACUAGGUUAUUGCUUAUCAUUGUCUAAUAGAGCAUAUUAGCAGCUAUCAUAAAAAUAAAAAAAAAAAUUAUUGUCUGAUUUUAAGAUACUUUCAAGUUUGACCCCCUACCUCAAUUGUCAGAGAGGGGAAAAAAAGAGUAAAUAACAUGAAAAGAAAGUAUAUGAAGUCAAAAAAAAGGUUGGGAAUAAGUAAUAUACAAAUGUAAGGCUGCUUCGAUCACAUUUGAAGUUAAUGACAAGCAUAGCUCUUCAUAUUUAAGUAAAUAUAAAAUAGAAUAUUAGCUGUUGAAUAGAUUAUAAGCAUAGAUCUUGACUUUUGAAUUUAAUUACAGAAAUUUUGGUGGAUUGGUGAACAGAAGAAAUCCAUUCGUUCCACCAAUUACAUUGAGGAUUUUAAUGAAUCCCAAUCUCAGGUAACAUGUUAAUGCCAACAGUACUGGCAAGAUAUCAAAUGCGGGAGAUUCGAGACUAUUAGCUUUAAGAGAACCAAUAGAGACUGACAAGUUAGAAAUAACUUGCUAAGUUGAGAAGUACGACUGACAAAAUGAAUAUAGUGGGAAAAUCAAGAUAAGCUAAUAGUUUUCUGUUUCUGCAUCUCUCUUACCGUCUCUGUUAUAUUUGCUUUUAACAACUCAAAUAUUUAGGAUUUAUUUACCAAUUGUUAUUCUACGUCACAAAUACUCUGUUUUUUUUUUCUUUUUUCUUUAAUCGCUCUGUUUUAUACUUUUGACAUAUCUUUUAGGUCUUUAGUCUACCAAAUAAUCAUAAAUAAAGCAUAUAAAAUGUAUUUCUAAUUUCAGAAGGCAUCUAGGACUUUAUUCUCUGCUUUACUUCUAAAUUAAUUAGCCAAAGGAAGUUUGGCUUUCAGCAGAGCACUUUAAAAAGAAAAUGAGAAAUGAGUCAUCUUUAACUAUUAUGCUCAUCCUUAAUGUCUCCACGUUAACAAUUGUAAGGAAGUGAGGACUGUAAAUUUACUUUCUGUCUAUUUAUUCUUUUGGCAUAUGUGCACGAAUAUAUAUGUCAGGAAAUUGAAUUGUAUGAUUUUCACGAUGACUCUUAAAUGCACGCAUCCAUAUCUUUCUAUUUUCAAAGAUGGUAAUGGAAAACUGUGUUACUCUCUCUUAACAUUACACUAAUUCUAAAAUACCUAAAAUGUAUAAAUAUAUCUAAUAUAGACUUACUAAGAAAUCAUGUGAGACAUUAAGGAUAUGUUUGGUACCUUUUUGGCAAACUGUUUUUCGUUUUACAAACAAAAAAUACAAAAUUGAAUAGUUCUUGGUUUUCCCUUUUUUUUCAUUAAGUUAGAGAACGUUAAAUUGACGUUUCUCUUAUCUUAUUUCUCAUCGGAUUCCCUCAAAAGUAAAAUUAAUUAUCGGAAAAAAAGACACUUAUACCUCUAGGAUUUAGACAAAUUGUCAUGCAGACCCUCAAAUUUUUAAAAAGAAAUGCCAAAAUUUUUUUUUUAACAGAUGGGGGCUGGAGCAAUGCCAAAACUUGAAAGCUUAAUUGUCAACCCAUGUCUGCUGUACGGCCAAGGCGGAUGUACGGUACAGCAUAAACAAAAUAUCUUCCUAUUAAUAAUAUUAAAAUUAUUUGUAUAAUAUUCAAAAUAAUUUAAACUUUAAUUGAUUUAUUGUAAUAUUAUGUUUCCAUUUAUUAUUAAAAUUACUUUAAUAUGAUAAAAUAUGUAUAACAGAUUGUAAAAUAUAAAAACAGUAUCUUGCUUGUCAACAAAUUUUUUUUUUUUACUCGAAAGCAAAAAUAAAAUUAUGCCAAUAUCAAUUCUUUGACAGAACAACCUUAGCUUUCUGAUGUUUAAUACUACUCUUUCUAAGCCCAAAAAUUCUAAAAUUUUUAAUUAAUUCUGUUACUGGGAUUGCGGCAGUAAUACCAUUGAAGGCAUUUUGAUAUUAAUUUUUUUUAAAGAAAAAUUCUUUAAAUUAAAAAAAGAAACAAUUGAAGAAAUCUGUUCUUCGAGAUUACCUAACAAACAAGAAGUACUUUAUUGUGCUUGAUGAUGUCUUCGAUGACAGUGAGUUAUGGGAUGAUCUGGAAGAACUUCUUCCUAAUAAUCAGAAUGGAAGCAGAGUAUUGAUAUUGGUUGCUGAUCUCGACCUCCUUGCGUCAUUGGAAAUGGAAAACGGAGAGAAGAUUCGGCUAAAUUCAGUGCUCGUUGGAGGACCAUUGAUCAGAUUAAAGCAUGAAGCCUGGCAAUUUUUCAUCCUACACUACGGAAGUGCGCCAUUAGAAAAUUUAUGGAUGAAAAAGUGGUUUUGACAUUUUGAGUCGAACUUGUUCUGUGUGGGAGUUAUCUUUUCACUUGAAAGCCUGCGGCAUCUAUCUGUGUGUCUUCCCUCCAAGCAUUAAGAUAUCUACCAGGCAGUUACGUCAGUUGUGGAUAGCUGAAGGUUUCAUACAAUACAACAGUGAAGAAACUGCCGAACACUACUUGAAAGAACUAAUCCAUCGCGGCUUCUUUCAAGUGAGUAAGAGAAGAGCCGGAGGCACAAUUAAAGCGUGUUAUGUUCCAAGUCUUGUAUAUUAUUCAUUGUUGUUGGUGGCAGAGAAGACGAGAUUUGUCUUGAUGCCUGACAAGGAAGAGGAAUCUUUGGCAAAUGUUAAACGGUGCUUCAUUUUGGAAGAUCUGAUUGAGUUCAUUUUUUUAGAACAGUCUGGCAUGUAUCUCCAGUCUUUUCUAAAUCACAGUUCAGAAAGCGAUCAUCUCGCUCUGAUAGAUUGCGAGAAUUUUUGUGAAAAGUUCAAAUACCUUCGGUUACUGAACUUGGGUUAUGCAGUUCUCGACCAAUUUCCACUCGGAUUAGAAAAUUUAAUCCUUUUGAAGCAUUUGAAAUUGAAUAUCCCUUCGCUCAAAUGCCUUCCUUCGCUGCUGUGCACUAUUUUAAACCUUCAAACACUAGAAAUGCCAUCUAGCUACGUAGAUCACUCGCUGGAGGAUAUUUGGAUGAUGCAAAAACUCAUGCAUCUAAACUUUGGUUCCAUCACUCUUCCCGCACCUCCAAAAAAUUAUUCUAGCUCUCUGAAAAAUCUCAUUUUCAUAUCAGCUUUAAACCCUAGUAGUUUUACUCCUGAUAUAUUGCGCAGACUACCUAAUGUUCAAACACUUCGGAUAUCUGGAGAUUUGAGUUGCUAUCACUCUGGGGUUUCCAAUAGCCUAUUGGGACUCCACAAACUUGAAUGCUUGAAGCUGGUGAAUGAGAGCAAGCUCUCACGGGUUGUCCUGUCUAAAUACCAGUUUCCUUUAAGUCUAAGCCAUCUGAGCUUAUCAAAUACUGAGCUAAUGCAGGAUCCCAUGCCAAUUAAUAUAUCAAGACUAGUUUGAAAAUCUACUUCUACUAAUAAUAAUAUUUAAGGAGAAAUUAGCUGUCACGUGGCUGCUGUGGAGUCCUAUUCAUCAGGGUAGUUGUUGUUAUAGUCAAAAUAAAUAUUUAGUUUUUAUUUACUUGUAGAAGUGGUCCACUACGUCAGCACUUGUUGCUAUCAUUUAGCUGUGUCUUUGUUAUUUUCUGUUCAAGUCUUUAUAUAAAUUCAUAGUCCAAAGAUUAAAAAAAAAAAAAAAAAAUUCAUAGUCCAAAGAUAAAAAAAAAAAAAAAAAAAGCAACAGAUUAAUUUUCUUCAAAGUUCAUCUAGUAUUGAAGGCCGUGGUCUUCCUCAAAAUAGACCAAGUUCAGUUGUUCGUUCUUUAUUUAGUUGACUACUACAAUAGGGAAACAAAAGAAAAUGAUCCUGAAAGGGCUUGAUUUGUUAUACAUACCAAUUACAAGGUCAGUUAUGUAGGCAUGUAACAAAAUAGUAUCAGAGCAAGGCAUGUAGGAAUCAUGAUUGAAAAGCUUAGAAACCGAAGUAAGCUCCUUGCAGCUUAAUUUAUAGUCAAAUUCAAAUCUUGAACAAUGGUCAUGAACGAAAGAAUAUCAUGAAAUGUGAUAAUCCAAACGAAGGUGCGAAUGGAUAUUGGUAUUAUGGGCUCUGCUUAGACUAUUUACACAUUUAAACAAUAAUCAUCACUAUUUUCGACCACUAUAUCUUCCGAAAAUAAUUUUUGCCAAAAGUCACCAUAUUUGUGAAUUAAAUCUAUUUUAAAAAUAGAUUUAAUCACCAUCAAUUUUGUCACGGUAAGAUAAAGUAGGGAUAGCUAAUAUAUAUAUUCUUUCUAAAAGUCAUGACUUUUCUCUAAACAUUAAUCAUAUUUUUUUUGAGAAAAGUGAGUAAUAAUAAUAUCGUCAGGAGUUUAGAUAAUGCUAUAUGAUCAACUGAUUUAAAAAAAAUACAAUUGAUAUAGCAGCGUCCUAGGUCAUAUGAGGACAAACAUGUAGGAAAGUUCAUCUAGAAAAUUAGUGCAUCCGCAGUUUCAAUCAAAUUGCUAUAUUGAGCAACAAUUAAUGAAUAAAUUUGUUAUUCAACCUAUAUGUAACUAACACAAAUUUUAAUGACCUUCACAUAGCAGCAGUGGAAGUACCCAAUUUUUGAGACUUCACUGAAAUAUUUUCAUUCAAUCAAUUUACAACCAUCUUCCAUAUGCUUUCAUAUUUUAAAAUGUUAAAUGUUAAUCUCACUAUCAACACCACAAAAAAUAUAUCAUUUUUAAUGAAGACAAUUAGGUUAUCAUUUCUAAUAGAGCAUCUUGAGCAGUUAGCUUAAAAAAAUUAAGCAAACUAUUGUAUGAUUUUUAAGAUAUUUUAAGUAAUUUUAUCAACUAUAAAAUCAUCACCUAGUUCAUUAUAAGUGACACAACAUUGGUCAAUGACACAUAACAUUGGAAUUUAAGUUGGUACUCAAUUGUUGGGAUCUCUAAUAUUAUUGGACAUGAUUUAAUGAUCAAAUUCAAAUUUUGCACCGGUGGCCAUGAAUGAAAGAAUAUCAUGAAAGGUGUUAAGAUGCACAUGGAUAUUGGUAUUAGGGAUUAUGUUUAGGAUAUCAAUUAUUCAUACAGAUUUACUCUACAAAAAAUCAUUCCAAAUUUCAUAAUUAUUUUCCCUCUUACUUAUUUCCGAAGUUAUUUUCUUCCUCUUCCUAACGUUUCUCUAAUUCUGAAUCCCUUAACGAUGAGGGGAAAAAGAUUAAGAAAGUCAAACUGAUUAAAGCUAAAUAAAUAAAUAUUAGAAUCCAAAUUUUCCGUGCCCAAAUUCCGUUGAAUAUGAAAUAUAUAAAAUUAGCAAAUUGACUACAUCAAAAAAUUAAAAAAAUCAAAAUUCAUCAUGUAAAAAUCUUAUUUAACUCCUAAUUUCAUUACAAAAUCGUUCACAAGUUAAUUGAUAUCAGUAUUAGGUGAUCAAAGCUCAAGCAUUUUUAAUAAGCAAAGCUCAAAAGAAUUUCAUAAGAAAUCACUUACCAAUGAAAAUCAAUGCAGAGAAACAAUUGAGCUAUUUUCCUAGAGGGUAUAACGAUGAUGACAAUGAGUAGAAUCACUUAAUUAACGUAUUGAAAUAGCAACUUAGUUCAGAUCUACAAUGCCACUUGCUAUAUGAAAACGUAUAUAAUCAUAAUUAAUUAGCGAAAUGUCAAGUUCUAUUUUGACUGUCUUGCUUGGGUCAGGGUUUCUGUAUUCUACCAUUUUGGCAAGAUAUUGGAUGGCAUAAUCAAGUCUGUGAUGCCUCCAUCUCAGGUUAGUGUAAUUAUCGGUGAAGAUUAUAAUACAUAUUCAAUUAUAACAAACGAUUAUUAAAUUACUCCCAUCGAAAGGAUUAGGUUUGUCAUUAUUGACAAUUAAAUUAACAAGAUUCUCAUUUUCUCUCACCGCAUGCAUUGCAAGUUGAAAAGAACAUUGACUUGAGAAAAUACUCUGAUGAUUAAAUUACUCCCAAUAAUCAGAAUGGAAGCAGAGUAUUGAUAUUGGUCACUGAUCCACACCUCCUUACGCUGUCGGAAAUGGAAAACGGAGAGAAGAUUCGGCUUGAUUCAGUGAAAGAUGUUAAGAAAAGAACAAAUGUUCAUCAAUUUAGACAAUAUAAUCAAACAACUAAAAUUUUUUUAGUGAAAUUUCUAUUUAUAAUACCUCUACUAACAAAAUAUCUACUUAAAUAAGUUCUACUAAGCUAUAUUAUUAUGAACCGUAUCGAUUAAAGCAAAUACCAUUGACUUGAGAAAGCACUUUUUGUGUUUCUUUAUAAGUGUGAACAUGUACCAAACAAACUCUUUAUAAAACCAAAAAAGUCUCUUGUUCUGUGUUGGAGUUACCUUUUCACUUGAAAGUCUGCUGCAUUUAUUUGUGUGUUUUCCCUCCAAGUAUUGAGAUAUCUACUAGGCAAUUAUAUCAGUUGUGGGAAGCUGAAGGCUUCAUACCAUACAACAGUGAGGAAACUGCCGAACAUCACUUAAAAGAACUAAUCCAUCGCGGCUUCAUUCAAGUGAGUAAGAGAAGCGCCGGAGGCACGAUUAAAGCGUGUUAUGUUCCAAGUUUUGUAUAUUAUUCAUUGGCUUUGGUGGCAGAGAAGACGGGAUUUGUCCGGACGCCUGACUUCGAAGAGGAAUCAAAUCACAGUUCAGAAAGCGAUCGUCUCGCUCGGAUAGAUUGCGAGAAUUUUUGUAAAAAGUUCAAAUACCUUCGGGUAUUGGACUUGGGUUCUGCAGUUCUCGACCAAUUUCCACCCGGAUUAGAAAAUUUAUUCCUUUUAAAGUAUUUGAAAUUGAAUAUCCCUUCGCUCAAAUGCCUUCCUUCGCAGCUAUGCACCCUUUUAAACCUUCAAACACUAGAAAUGCCAUCUAGCUACAUAGAUCAGUCACCAGAGGAUAUUUGGAUGAUGCAAAAACUCAUGCAUCUAAACUUCGGUUCCAUCACUCUGCCUGCACCGCCAACAAAUUAUUCCAGCUCUUUGAAGAAUCUCAUUUUCGUAUCAGCCUUACACCCUAUUAGUUGCACUCCAGAUAUAUUGGGCAGAUUACCAAAUAUUCAAACUCUUAGAAUAUCUGGAGAUUUGAGCUAUUAUCAAUCUAGGGUUUCCAAAAGCCUAUGCAAACUACAAAAACUUGAAUGGUUGAAGCUGGUGAAUGAAAGCAAGCCCUCACGAAUGGUCCUGUCUGAAUACCAGUUUCCUCCAAGUCUGACCCAUCUGAGCUUAUCAAAUACUGAGCUAAAGGAGGAUCCCAUGCCAACGCUAGAAAAGCUUCCAUACGUUCAAGUGCUGAAACUGAAGCAGAACUCCUAUUUAGGAAGAAAGCUGGCCUGCGUUGGCUCUGGUGGCUUUCCGGAACUUAAGGUUUUGCACCUGAAAUCAAUGUAUUGGCUAGAUGAGUGGACGAUGGGGGCUGGAGCAAUGCCAAAACUUGAAAGCUUAAUUGUCGACCCAUGUGCUUACUUGAGAAAGCUUCCAGAAGAGCUGUGGUGCAUACAGAGCUUGCGCAAAUUGGAUUUACAUUGGCCUCAGACAGAGUUGAGACAGAGGCUACGGACUUUCAAGGAUAUGGAGUGGCGGUAUGACAUCCAGUUAUAUCCUUAUGGAAUCU